rnacentral:lncRNA from 1 species
UGUUUAUUAGUACUGCCGCUUUUGGUGUGUGGUCAGUCCUGAGAACGGUCUAUGUUAAUGUAUGUCCACUCAAUUCAGUCUGUAUAUUUUGAAGUAUCCGGAUCAUAUUUUUUCUGAGGACGGUUUAUCAAUUAUGGUUACACUCCAAUAUCUGUAUGCAUUGCAGGGUUUAUUGCACCCACUAGGAUUUCCAGUCACAUGGAUGUUCGGUCCAUACGAUUUGUCACGACCUUUGGACUGUCCUGCUUGUGGGAGUAGGCGGGGCCCCUGCAUGCCACGCGUAGUUGGACGAUCAAUCUUCUGUUUAGUACUUCAACAUAGUGAUUUCCUAGUAAGGAUUCACUCGUGUCACAUCAAGUAAAUCGUAUUGAUUUACUGUCUAAAUCUUAUUGAUUUAAUGUCAUGUUUUCUUUCUUUUCCUGCAAUUUUACGAUGCAGGUAUUGCCAUGUGACAUUCAUCACAGAAUAAACCGUUUGGUUUGCUCUACGAUGGCUAUCUUUGCAGGUUUCACUUCUUAUGUCAUGUCAGUAACGAAGGCACUUUCCAUCACUUAUAUUACUGGAAAAAAUUGGAUCAGUCUGUUGUCUGAGUACAAGCUGAAUCCCUAUGAUGAACUGCAGUUUGUUUUAACAAAAAUGCCACAAUUAGUCCUUCUCGUGUUUAAAAGAAAUGAAGAAACAAACUGGAUCACGGUCACGGAUCUUAGUCAAGUUAGAAAGCUGAUCAUAGCAGACCAGACACGAUCGCCGCUGUCUCGCACAGAUCAAGCACCGACAGUUGCUCUAGCACUGACAGCGGCAGCAGCUCAGUAUGAUCCAGCUGAGGAUUGGGCACCGACCACGUCAGCGGAUCAAUCUGAUCUACCGGAGGAUCGGGCAUCGACACCGGCACCUGCUCCGACACCGGCACCAGCUCUACAAGGAGCACCAUCUCCGGCAGCAGCAACGGCUUCGGCACCUGCACCAACACUUGCACUUGCAUCUGCUCUGGCCCGUGCAGUUGCACCAGCAACAGACUGUGCUGCAGUUCGCACUUCAUAUACCAAAGUCCUUACAAAAACUGACAUAUCCACCUUCUUGGUAAGCAUUGGCCGCCCAAGUGCUUCGUUCUUUUUUCUUUCCAUGUUGUUUCACAUGAUUCACUGUGUUGAUCUAACUGUUUGGGUAUGUCUUCUUGUUUGCAAACAAAGAAUUCCUAGAGCAACGAGGGAGUCGUUCAACAAUCUGGGCGACCGCGGCCAAGUUUCUCUUACCAUGCGCAACCUUGGUGUGAAUGAACCUGCUCAAUAUACCAUAAGUACAAAGGAUGGUCGCAUGAUGAUUGAUGCUAAAGGAUGGUCAACGUUCAAAUCUAAAUCAUAUAUUGCGGUAGGGGAUGAUGUCAAAAUUGAACUUUCUCGGCAAGGAGAGCUGGUCCAAAUCAACUUUGAAAUUCUUCAGUAGUAGCACGCAACUACCGAACUAAUCUAUCCCCCGAGAGAUUUUGAUGUAAUAAUCUGGCAUGGUGAAACAAGUGUCUUGUGUCUAUAAGUAGUACGACAGUAUUAUUUAUCACAUGGUAUAUCAUUGAUAGAAUUGCAACUCUGAUUGCUGGUUAGGAACUGUCGUUCGAUUUCAUUCCAACAGCUGUCGUGCUUUAUUCAAUUUUGUGUAUUCGCCUUGCGACAGCAUCUAAAACCAGCGCCGUACCGAUCGCUUGCAAUAUGAAAAGCGCUGAGGUAGAACACAUGGGCCCCCAAACAUGCAGGGUCGGCCUACAGCCCAAAGUCCAGAACCGUGAGCCUAUCUGAGUAUUAUAUUCUCAGCUGAACCCCCAUAAUUCUCGUGCGUUGCACAGCGGCAAGGUGAUCCUGUGAUAUAAAAGAUUUGUAUAUUUCUUUACAAAGGGAGUAUUUCUCUGUCAAAAAAAAUAUUUAUGUGUAACUAGUUACUCCUGUCUUUCUACUUCCAUUCGCUGAUAUGUGGGGCAACCGGCAACGGGGUCCAUGUGCCAUAUGCACAAAUUAGAGUGCACAACUUCACGGUAGACACACCCCGGUCAUAGCGCCGCAGUAAUGCCCAAUGAGCCAUCAAAUCACAACCCCCUUUCCAGCUUUAGCAGUAAGCUGGACGGACGAAGCGGCAAUAUUUCACUGGGCCUAAAUCCCCUUCUCCCUCGUCUGCUUGUUCAGAGAAAACCCCCUCUCGGCGAUUGCACAGGGUUUUCUCAUGGAGAACCAGGUACGAAUUCUUCAUCCAUCCCCGAUAAAUCCAAGUCCCUUGGUCGCAAGUAAUCCUAGGAUGGCAGCCGCCACCGUUGAUGCUUUUUUCUUCCUACUGAAUCUAGUGUGUUUCAUGUGCAGUGCCCAAAGUGCGAGUACCCUACAGGUUUCUGCGCCCUCGGCGAGACGCCACACUUGUUCCUUCUCAUCCUAACACAUCAUUUUGAAAUGCGCAUAGUAUGUUCCUAGAAUCCUCUUUUCUAUCCGGGAGGGUGGGGUUUUUUUGAACAUGUUGUGUUUUCAUAUUAUUUUUCCUGCAGUGUAUUAUUUGCUCUGCCAGAACACAUGUACUCAAGAUGCUCGGCCUUGCCAUAACUGAAUACACUAGUUUAAUGGUCACAGUGAAGACAAGCCAUGGAUAUAAGUUCCGAGUUGGGUUCAUGAACCAAGAAGAUCGCUGCUUUUUUUAUGGCCGAACUUGGAUAAACUUCCUCAAGUGUUAUGGACUGAAAGUUGGCGCACGGAUGUUGAUGGAAAUAGCAGAACUUGGUCUCAUCUUCACUGUGAUCUUCCACCCCGACGUCGUUCCAAUUGUUCAUCCAUGUUAGUUUUGUAUCUGGUUCUUGCUUGUUGCCUCGAUUACUUCUUAAUCCACCUAUUCUGUCUAACUAAUCACAAUUUAACUUUAGAAGUAGCAACGAAUCUCUCACGAAGAUGCUACUUCUAACUAAUAUUUUCUUAUAAUUGGUGGCACGUGUAGGUUUUUUCAGAGUUAAGCAGUCUGCUCGUUUGUUACUCUGUAAUAACUCGGCUAUUACUAAUGGCACUGAAGUUGACUGGAUCGACAUCCACAAGUUCCUACACUUUAUUGAUCGUCUUGAGGUCCUUGUGGGGAGUUUCAAUGGUGGAAGGCCACGUGGGAUAUGUGUGCCACUGCUGCACUCAUUGAACAUGUCCAACUGUGUCGAGAAAAUUAUGGUACGAGCUGUUUUCUGUUAUAUAUGUUGUUCAUAAACUAUUUCUUAUACACAGUUUUACAGAUGUGAUCUUCUUGAAACAGGAACUGUCGAGUUCUAUUGUUCCUAUACAGAUGCCUGACCAUGGUCGGGUCAGACUUGUGCUUGGUCACAACAUGAUGUUUAUGUCGACCUACUCAAUUCCCCUUGGAGGUGAAAAGAUACUUAUUCAUGGGUGGUCUCAAAUAAUGAAGGCCCGUCCAUCUUGGAGAACAGGACAGAAGAUUAUGUUCAUGCUUUUCCAUGGCUCUAAAGCAAAUAUCCUGUUUAUUGAGCACAUUGCGAGAUGAAGCCGCUUUCAGAAGGUUGUGGAUGCGCGGGGUGGCGCCUGGGCCUUGUCCUGGGGCUUGGCGGCCUCACCCUUGAUUAUCUGUAGGCAAAGUAGCACUGUUCGAGGCAUGCUUUGUACGGUUGAACCUGUAUAAGUACUCAUACUGCUUUCAGCUUUUGUUGUUAAGUGCCCCUGCUGGUUUCAGUUAAGGUUGUUAAGUACUCCUGCUGCUUUUACAGUCUGUCGUGUUUCUUCAGUCCUGUCUUCCUCCAGCCGCCAAAACCAAACCAGCGCCGACGGGGCCGCCUGCUUCCGCCUCCCACGGCUGGCUGCGCCUCAGCGCACGCAUCUCCGCCACACCGUCUCCAAAAUCGUUAACGCCAACGUCCUCCGCGCGCUUUGGUGCGCUCGCCACGGUGCCGCCCUCUCGCAUUGUCAACAUGGUCAACAAACAAUAGGAAUCGGCAGAAGUACGUGGAGAGGAUGACAGUAGGGGCCCACCACGUCAGCGUAUGGAAAAAUAAAAUGCUUCCUCCUAGUGUUUUCCUGACAUCUGGGACCCACGACAUUGUGAGCGUAUAUAGUCAAUAGACAAGAGAACAGCACAAGAUCGGCUGACACCUGGGACGUAGCUACUCGAGUAGUAUUUUUUUGUUUGGUAUUGUUGAGACCAAGUAGGGUUUGAACUGGGUUGUGGCCCGUCUAGCCUAGGGUUAUAUUUUAUGUUCACCAUGUGACCAGCCCAGCUAUUUUUUCUUUGUGAAAAUGAGCCCAGUUUAUUUUUUCUGAAGAAUACCCAAUCCAGGCCUACUUAUUUUUCUACGCCCUGAUGGGCUGCAACUCUUUCAAGACGCCUGCAAAUCUUGAAAGUAAUAUGAAAUGGGUUGUAAAUAUAAAAACAGAUGACAAAUUGGCAAUUACUUUAUAAUUUCUGAAUUUUUUCACAUUUUCAGAUUCCUAUUUCACUGGGCAUUAACCUAAUUUAAAUAUAUCUUCAAAGUACUUUAAAUCUGGCUCGACAUUUCGGUAUUAGAAAUAGUUUCGAACCUACAGAAAUAUGCGAAAUUGGCCCUGGCCAACCAAAAAAACGACUGCAAUAAAUUGCAUAAGAAGUUUCCAUGAGCUACAUAUAAAUUAUUAAAAAAAGAGGGAGUGGUCUGACUUGUGGGCCUGUUUAGUUGACGCGUAUGCAAGAUUUUUUUAGUUAUUAUAUACGUCAACAAACGAUUCUAGCAGACAUAACCGUUGGAUGUCAAUCCAACGGCCAUCGUGUUUCUUCAAUCUCUGAUCUUCUUGCUCCAGCCGCCAAAGCAGCGCCGGCGGGACCGCCUACUCCCGCCUCCCGUGGCCGGAUGUGAUGCCGCGGAGGCCUCACCGCCCCCUACCACUCCCAUUGCUGGCCAGGCCAUCCCUCUACGCACCCACACCCCCUGUUAUUCUGCAGCAACGGCAGCCUCACACCGCAGCCGAACGAGUGAACCCUCAUACUCCUCUAUGCGUGGGCAUCCACUGCCGCGUCUUCCCCGGAUCCGUGUCGUCCCCUUCCUAGGCCUCGCCGUCGUCCACCGCCCUGGUGCUCUCGGCGCGGCGUGGUCAAGGAAUGGCUUCCAUCGGACGUGGACUGUACGUGGAGAGACUGACAGCUGGGUCCACGGCCGCAGCAAGGAAGUGCCUCCUUAUUACGCGCAAAAUAAUUAUUCCUCCACCUGACAGCGGGGACCCACCGGACGGGCCACCGUAUUUCACGAAAAAAAUGUUUCCCCCUGACUGUUGGGACCCACCAGCUACAUCUUCGCACGCAAGGAAGUGCGUCCGAAAAAAAAUGAUUCGCCCCCUGACUGCUGGGACCCACUAGCUACAUCUUCGCAUGCAAGGAAGUGCGUCCGAAAAAAAAUGAUUCGCCCCCCUGACUGCUGGGACCCACCAGCUACAUCUUUGCACGCAAGGAACGCGUCCGGGCAAAAAAAACAAAAUGAUUCCCCCCUGACUGCUGGGGCCCAGCAGCUACAUCUUUGCACGCAAGGAAGUGCGUCCGGUAAAAAAGCAAAACAAUUCGCCCCCUGACUGCUGGGACCCACCAGCUACAUCUUCGCAGGCAAGGAAGUGCCUGACAGUCGGGACCCAUCUGGUCGAAGCGUACGUAGCGUUGUCAUUCUGGUCGCGAACGUGUACGUACAUAUAUAAUGGUCGAUGUAGAGGCGCGCACGUGUUGUAGUAGAGGCGCGUACGUGUCGUAGUAGAGGCGCGCACGUAGCAUGUACAUGUACGUACAACGGCCAGGGUGCAAGAAAGAAAAUAUGGCCACGUACGUACAUACGGGCAGGGUCUCGAACGCCUACUCGCGCAUACGUACGGCCAGGGCUCGUGUACAUGGCUGGGUUGGAACGGAGAAACAGCGUCGUCGUCGUGUUCAUGGGGAGGCAACGAAAUGCAUCGUGUUCAUGGGGAGGCAACGGAAUGCGUCGUGUUCAUCGGGAGGCAACGGAACGCGUGGGAGCCAACCGGCUGGGUCGGAACGGAAUGCGUGGUCGUGUUCAUCAGGAGGGCUUGGACGGAGCAGGCGAUGGAAACAAGGCCUGGCGCACCGCAAAACGGAGGAAACGGCCUUGUGUUCGACCGGCCACGUUUGAAACAGGAUAUUGUUCAUCGGGAGGGGUCUGUGUACCGCAAAACGGAGGAAACGGACCUCCUAUGGUCGAAACGGGGGUCCUGUUGACCGGGAGGGGUGUGGCGUACCGCAAAACAGAGGAAACGGACCUCCUACGGUCAAAACGGGGGUCCUGUUGAUCGGAGGGGUGUGGCAUACCGCAAAACAGACGAAACGGACCUCCUACGGUCGAAACGGGGGUCCUGUUCAUCGGGAGGGGUGUGGCGUACCACAAAACGGGACUCCACGGGAUACUGUUCAUCUCCGCCGUCGACCUCCUCCAGCCUCCACGGGCUCCUGUUCAUCCAGCCUCCACCGCGCGCUACUCCACCGACUACUGUUCAACCACCCCUCCACCAUCUACUGUUCAUCGAGCCCUCCACACCACGGGGUCCUGUUCAACCACCCCUCCACGGGCACCCCUCCACCGUCCACUAUUCAUCCAGCCCUCCACCACACCAUGGGGUCCUGUUCAUCCAGAGGCAACGCCACCGCUCACUGUUCAUCCAACCCCCCCCCCAUAGCGCUCACUGUUCAUCCCAGAGGCAGCAUCGAUCGGCUUCAGUUAGCAGCAGUAGUGAAGGAAUCGCUUGAUCGGGUUCAGUUAACAUCCAGCAAUCGAUCGCUCGGGUUCAGUAACGCGUAGACUGCAGUGCAAUCGCUCGGGUUCAGUUAGAGCCCAACGCCUCGCUCGGGUUCAUUUAGAGCCAACGCCUCGCACACACGCGCGUACGUGUACGAGAGAAACGUGCAUCGCUCGGCCCUCGACCUCCCACCGUAACCGGGAACUCCCCGAAAUUUUCCUCCCCCUUGAUUCUACCAUGGUUUUUUCCGUCAUGGACAGCCCAAAGAAUGUCAUGCAGCUGCGUCUCCGGCCCGCCCAGGACGAAAAGCCCAUUUUCUGUCAUGAUUUUUUGUCAUAGAAGUAGGAGCCCGCCACAUCUAUGAUGAUACCGGGUUUUGUCACAAUUAUGGUCAUAGAAGUGUCAUAUGUAUGACAGGGAAAAAAUUUGUUCGGCCCAAAAUGUCAUGGAUGUGUCUUAUUUUGUAGUAAUUCUGAUGAAAUGCGCUGAUCAUGGCGGCGGGAUGAACAUCUGGGAUGUUGUACUGCACCCGGCUGAACCUCUGUAUGUACUUGCAUAGGAUUUCACCUUCCUUCUGGGGGAUGAUAUGCAAAUCGCUUGCCUGGCCAUGAGCUUGGUUGUCGGCGUUCUAGGAACAGCGGUCCCCAGACUUGCCUGCAUGCGGCCUACGGCGUGGCUCAAAGGGGGGCCCAGCAUGGCCCAUCCUCAUCAACACAGACCCAAGACCCUCGCGAGGGGCCAAGCCUCGCGGGGCGGACGACACGGAGCUUCCUCAGGCAUGGCCUCGUCAGGCUGGCUCGCGAGGAGGCGGAGAGAUCAAGGUGGGGUACCUCACGAGGUGCCCGUGAUGCAAGCCAUGACGACCAAGGGUGCCAGGCGGGCGCCAGCCCGCGCAGUGUCCACCUUUCCUCUUUGGUGCAAAGGGAGCAAGCGCAGGCGAGAGCAUCAAGCAAAGGCACCCAUUUCGGUGCAACGAGACCAAGACCAGUCCAACGGCAGGGAGGAAGUCAUUGUGGAGCCCAAGCCAGCGUCACCACCAGAGCCUUUGGCAGGCGAGGACCAACUUUAGUCAGGAUAAGUCUACCAGAUGUUCCCCUUCAAAAUGGUCAAUUGUUGGCGCCCUUCCCGCUCAAUAUUUGGGAAGAGGACCAGGGCCUUUGCCUAUAAAUAGGACUAGCCACCCCCAGGGGAGAGGGGGGAAAACGGAAUCAGAAAGGGAUCGAAAUCAGAGAGAGAAUCAAGGAGAGAGAGAGAGAGAGAAGGGUGACUGAACUCCUCCUAGCAGUUCAUCCCCCCAGCCAAGAACAGACCCUCGCGAGGCUGUUCUUCCUUGUAUUGCUCAUCAUCAUCAGCCCAAGAGGCAAUCCACCACACCACACACUGGAGUAGGGUAUUACACCACAACGGUGGCCCGAACCAGUAUAAACCCUAUGUCUCUUGUGCUGUUCUUUCAAUAGCUUCGAUCUUAGCGAGGCGGAGGGGCGCAGGUAGGCAGAAGGCGAAAUCUCCGUGCACACCCUAGUGUUCGAGCCUCAAGGGUCUGCCGGAACCCGAAAUCCGACAUUUGGCGCACCAGGUAGGGGUGCACCGGAAUUUCCCUUCCGCCACCGCCACGACCUGCCCCGUGAUGAGUAGCGCAUCGCCCGCUCUGGCCACCGGCGCCAGCACGGGGGCCAGGGGGCUCCGAGCCCUGGCCCCAGCCCUGCAACGGGUACGGUGGCCAGACAAGUUCAAGCCAACAACGCCGCCGUGCUACAGUGGCGCGACUGAUCCGCUGGCCUUCUUACUGGUGUACGAGGAGGCCAUCCUCAAAGUUGGAGGUGAUGAUAGGGUCAUGGCCAACUGGUAUCCCAUGGCCCUCACCGGCGCUCCGCGCGCAUGGCUGCUCCACCUGCCGGCAGCCUCCGUGGCCUCUUGGGAAGAGCUCCGCAGCCUCUUCCUCGCCCACCACGCUGCACCAACACCCCCUGCCGUCGCGGCCCUCCUGGGAGGCUCGCAGGCGCCGCCUACAAGUCACCACGUCAAGCCGUUCAUCCGCCGGGUCAGCAUCACUUCCAUGCGGCAGGGGGCUCCCCCGGACCGGGCGGCGCACAAGGUCGACCUGACCUUCAGCUCGGAGGACCACCCCUCCAACUCGGCAUGCUCGGGUGCACUCCCCAUGCUGUGCACCCCCACCAUCUACCAGGUGGCCGUCACCAGAACUCUCAUCGAUGGCGGUGCGGGCCUCAGCAUGCUCUCAGUUGAGGCCUUCAACCUCCUCUGCAUACCCCUGGAACGGCUGCAACCCAGCCGGCCCUUCUCAGGCGUUGGGGGCGGAUCAUCCAGCUCCUUGGGACAGAUCCGGCUCCCAGUAACCUUCGGCACCUACAACAACUUCCGCAUGAAGCUGGUCGACUUCGACAUCGCCCCCAUCGGCCUCCCCUACAACGCCAUCCUUGGCUACCCAGCGCUGGCCCAGUUCAUGGCCGCGACGCACCCGGCGUACAACCUCAUGAAGAUGCACGGGAGCAGCGGUGUCCUCACCAUGCACGGGGACACCGGAGACGCGCUGUGGGUGCUCAAGCUCGCCUUCAAGACGGCGGCGUCGGUGCAGCCCGCCGACUCGGAGACCCCCGAGCCCAAGGGGGCUGCACCCGCCAAGAAGAAAUAGUUGUUCACCCAAGACAAGGCAGAAACCAAGCAGAUACCCGUCGAUGAGGACGGGUCCACCAAUGCCACUUUCACCAUAGGCGCCAACCUCGAGCCCGAGCAGGAGGAGGCCCUGGUCAGGUUCCUGCGCGCAAACAAGAAGGUAUUCGCUUGGGAGCCUGACCAGUUGGCGGGGAUCCCUAGGAGCGUAAUUGAGCAUCACCUCAACGUGUGCCCCAACGUGCGCCCUGUGAAGCAGAAGGCAAGGCGGCAGUCCACAGAAAAGCAGGCCUUCAUCGUCCAAGAGACCCGCAAACUAGAAGCCGCUGGGGUCAUUCGCGAGGUCUGAUACCCGGAUUGGUUGGCCAACCCUGUCGUUGUGCCAAAGAAGGGAGGGAAGGAGCGCAUGUGUGUCGACUUCACCAACCUCAACAAGGCAUGCCCGCAAGAUCCGUUCCCGCUCCCCCGCAUCGACCAGAUCGUCGAUUCCACCACAGAAUGCGACCUGCUAUGCUUCUUGGAUGCCUUCUCUGGGUAUCACCAGAUCAAGAUGGUGGUAGAAGACGUCGAAAAGACAGCCUUCCUAACCCUGUGUGGGGUGUACUGCUACACAUGCAUGCCAUUCGAGCUGCGUAACGCAGGGGCGACCUUUCAGCGGCUGAUGCACAUCACCUUGGGCCCAUAGGUCGGGAAGAAUGUUGAGGCUUAUGUCGAUGACAUUGUGGUGAAGUCUCGGGAGGCCAGGACCCUGAUACAAGACCUGGAGGAAACCUUCGCGAGCCUCAACGCAGUGAACCUGCGGCUCAACCCAGAGAAGUGUGUGUUCGGAGUCCCCUCGGGCAAGCUCUUGGGUUUCCUCGUGUCCCGCCGAGGCAUCGAGGCUAACCCGGAAAAGGUCAAGGCGGUCGAGGACAUGAGCCUGCCAAAGACCCUCAGAGAAAUGCAGAAGCUCACUGGGCGCGUGACCGCGCUAGGGCGCUUCAUCUCCAAGUUGGGGGAGCGAGCGCUGCCUUUCUUCCAGCUAAUGAAGAAAAAGGGGCCCUUUGAAUGGACUGAAGAGGCCGACAAGGCAUUCCAGGAUCUCAAGAGAUACCUGACCAGCCCCCUGGUCAUGGUGGCUCCGCGCCCUCAAGAGCCCCUGGUGCUUUACCUCGCCGCCACUCCCUACUCCGCCAGCGCAGCCCUGGUGGCGGUUAGGGAGGAGCGUCGAAUCAAAACCACAGCAGCAGCCCGGGACAAGGCAAAACAGGAACAAGGAAGGCCCACAGAAACCGCCACAGCGGCUAAGGAGGAUCAGCCGCCGCAGAGGAGUGCACCGGAGGCGGAAGAGGCCCCUCUCCCAGAUGGCCAGCCUCGGGAGGCCUCAUCACCUCAGGAGGCGCCAUGGUCUCCGGAGGGCCCCACCAGCACUGACGCACCCAACCUCGUUGAGCACCCAGUAUACUUCGUCAGCACGGUGUUGCGGGACGUGAGGGCAUGGUACCCCAUGCCUCAGAAGCUCCUCCUCGCGCUACUGGUGGCCUCGCGCAAGCUGCGGCACUAUUUUCAGGGUCACCCCAUCAAGGUCGUCUCGUCAUACCCCCUGGAGAGAGUGCUCAGGAGCCCUAACUCAGCUGGAAGGGUCGCUGAGUGGAACAUAGAACUGCAAGCAUUUCAAAUCGAAUUCAGCACGACCAGAGUCAUCAAGGGAGCAGCAUUAGCGGAUUUUGUGGCAGAAUGGAUGGAGGCACCAGACCUCAAGGCCGACGAGGAUCGGUCCCUCUCCCCGAGAAGCGAGGCGCCAGAAGGCUGGGUCAUGUACUUCGAUGGGGCGUUCUCCAGGCAUGGCGCUGGGGCUGGGGCGGUGCUUACAUCGCCCACUCAGGACAAGCUCUACUACGCUGUACAGCUCUGUUUCCAGCAAGGUGAAAAGGUCUCCAACAACAUAGCGGAGUAUGAAGGUUUAAUAGAGGGCUUGAAGGCCGCAGCUGCCCUGGGGGUGAAACGCCUCACCAUCAAGGGUGAUUCGCAGCUCCUUGUCAAUUUCUCCAACAAGGUGUACGAGCCGAAAGAUGAGCACAUGGAAGCCUACCUUGCGGAGGUCCGCAGGAUGGAGAAGCAGUUCUGGGGGUUGGAGUUAUAGCAUGUGCCCCGUGGCACCAAUCAGGAGGCCGACGACAUCGCCAAACGGGCGUCCAGGCGGUUACCUCAGGAGCCUGGCAUCUUCGAGGAGCGGCUCUUCAAGCCAUCAGCCCUACCGUCAUUGUCAAACACGACUCAGCCUCGGGAGGAGCUCCCCCGGCCACCUGCCUCAGGAGCCCCAGUCUGUGGCCCGGCCUCAGGAGCACGCCUGCUCCUGACGAUGGAACCUCAGGAGUGGUGCUGGAUCACGGAGCUCCGGAGUUACUUAACAUAAGGGACCCUGCCGGAGAAGGAGGAGGAAGCGGAGCGUGUGGCACGGCAGGCCACGGCAUACUGCAUCAAGGAUGGAGAGCUCUACCGGAAGCAACCAAACGAUGUAUCCCUGCGCUGCAUCUCCAGGGAGCAAGGAAAGGAACUGCUGGAAGAUAUACACGACGGAGACUGUGGACAUCAUUCAUCAUCACGGACCCUUGUCGGCAAGGCGUUCCGCAGUGGGUUUUAUUGGCCCACCGCACUCAAUGACGCCGUCGAACUGGUGAAAGCUUGUGAGGCCUGCCAGUUCCACGCCAAGCAGAUCCAUCAGCCAGCAGGAGGCCUGCAGACUAUACCCCUUUCAUGGUCAUUCGCAGUCUGGGGGCUGGACAUCAUGGGCCCGUUUCCUCGGGCGCCAGGGGGCUACCGCUACCUCUACGUCGCCGUGGACAAGUUCACCAGGUGGGCUGAAGUAGAGGCCGUCCGCACCAUCCCCGCGGGUUCCACGAUCAAGUUCAUCAGGGGCAUCGUGAGCCGAUUCGGGGUGCCGAACCGCAUCAUCACAGACAACGGUUCGCAGUUCACCAGUAACCUCUUCAAAACAUACUGUGCUAACCUUGGAACGCAGAUAUGCUACGCUUCGGUGGCGCACCCCCGAAGCAACGGCCAGGCCGAGCGAGCCAACGCAGAGGUCCUGAGGGGCCUCAAGACUAGGACGUUCAAGAAAAAGCUGGAGGCCUGUGGUAGAGGAUGGAACGACGAGCUUCAGUCCAUGUUGUGGUCCAUCCGCACAACCGCGACCAAGCCGAUUGGAGAGACCCUGUUCUUCCUGGUCUACGGAGUCGAAGCGGUCCUCCCUCAUGAGGUCAGAUGUCGCUCCACGCGGGUCCUGGCGUUCGACGAGGCGCAGCAGGACGCCAUGCGGCGGAUGGACCUCGUGCUGGGGGAGGAACGUCGCCGAGAAGCCGCGCUGCGAGCGGCGAGGUACCAACAAGCACUGCGAUGAUAUCACUACCGCAACAUCCGCCCCAGAACUCUCGAGGUAGGAGACCUCGUGCUCAGGCGGGUUCUCUCCAGGGAGGGACUGCACAAGCUCUCUCCCAUGUGGGAGGGCCUGUUCAAAGUUGUUCAUGUUUCCAGGCCCGGCUCCGUGCGCUUGGAGACUCAGGAGGGGGUGCCGAUCCAGAACGCAUGGAACAUCCAGCACCUCCGGAGGUUCUACCCCCAAAAAGGCCCAGAGCCUAUGAAGAAGGCGAAUGUCUGUGAAUAUUAUCCUUUUUGGAAAAGGCCCAGAGCCUGUGAAGAAGGCGAAUGCCUGUGAAGCCGUCGCGUUUUGGAAAAGGCCCAGAGCCUGUGAAGAAGGCGAAUGCCUGUGAAGCUGUCGCGUUUUGGAAAAGGCCCAGAGCCUGUGAAGAAGGCGAAUGCCUGUGAAGCCGUCGCAUUUUGGAAAAGGCCCAGAGCCUGUGAAGAAGGCGAAUGCCUGUGAAGCUGUCGCGUUUUGGAAAAGGCCCAGAGCCUGUGAAGAAGGCGAAUGCAUGUGAAGCUGUCGUGUUUUGGAAAGGGCCCGGAGCCUAUGAAGAGGGCAAAUGCACGUGAAGCCUGCUUCCCCCAAGAAAGGCCCGGAGCCUAUGAAGAAGGCCAACGCCUGUGAAGCUCGCCGCCCGUGACACUCUCACGUAAUAACGAGUUGGGGUUGUACACGCCUCGGAGUCUCAGGAGCGCCGGCCUCAGGCCCUGGGGCUCACUCCCAUGCCUAGUGGCAGCACUUAGCUCCGCGCUGGUGAGAAGACGUCGAAGACUAGAUUAGGUGCCGGACGCGGCUUUUUCAUUUGCUUUUCGCAGUUGGCUUGUUCAUUCUCAUUCAAAGUUUUAUUGAAGUUGUUGCCAUCUUUGGCUUUUGGUUCUUCGACUUUUCACUCUCCUGCCUCGAUUUCUCUUAUGCAAGGCCUCGCGAGGGGGGCAGCCGAGCGCCCUCGUGAUUGUUCCUGUCCUAGUCGUUCAAAGGUUUCGCGGCCUGGGUCCAUUACAAGAGCACCCCUCCAGUCCGUGCCCCACGGGCACCGCGACACGAACACAGGGCCUGGGUCGUUCGCCCCGCCCCCACGGCUGGGGCCAGGAACUAUCCACGUGCGGGCACGUAGCCGGAAGGCACGAUAACUGAAGCAAAGCGAUGAUUAACAGCAAUAACCCAAACAUGCCCCCGCGGGGCUCCACGCUACUAUCUUUUUACACAUGAAAAAGGGAAAGGAAGAACAAACCAGGCGCAGCUCGCCUCACACCGGCCUGCAGGGAAGACUCGAGCUGCCUCCGGGGCUCAGGCAGACUCCCUCUCGCGCUUCACCGAGGCGCGACGGCGGGCAGACACGCUACCACCUCCCAAGCAGGUAGGACAGCGUGGAGGCUGACUGCGGCCACCGCUAGAAGAGUCGCCGCCUGAAGAAGAACCGGUGAAGCUUGGGGAACCCUGAGCGCCGCCAAUCACGCGAGCGCUGUCCUCUCCAUCAUCGCCGGGGUUGGGUUCCCGGCCGCGGUCGUCCUCCUUAGGGCAGCACCCUGCGCGGCGACCAUCUUCCCCAAACACCCUCACGUAGAGGGUGGCAUCACCGUCAAACUUGAAGUGCAGGGUGCACCGACGGCUCAGGCCACACGCGCGGGCAAACAUCUGCCAACCGCGGGUCAAGGCCUGGCUCUCAGCUGCGGAGACCUCCAGUGAAGCCCAUGAGGCCCGGCUGCAGCAACCAUCUGCCUGAAGCCAGAGGCCACCCGGGGCGCCGGCCGGGAGCUCGCCGAGGAGGAAGCGAGGAAGUUGAAGCUGGGUGCCAGUCGACUCCGCCGACCACACAACGAACUCCGGCAGCACCUCUGAAGCGCGAAAGCGCGGCCUAGGGGAACGCGCGACCGAAGCGCGCCCCCCGGCUGCAGCAGUCCGCCCGUCACCAUGCUGGAAAUCGUCUCCAUGGCCGCGGGGAGCUGCCGUGGUGGCCACAGGAUGUUUGCGAGGGCGCCCUUGGCCGUGCUUGGGCGGGGGAGAGGCAGGCUCAACCUGGCGAGCCUUCCCCUUCUCUGCGGCCGAGAACCUCCUCGACGGGACCAUGAAGAAGAAGGAGAAGCAAGGGGGGAUGAACAGGAAGGGCGCGCGCUGAUCCGUACUUAUAGCCGGCGAGGGCCAACCGUCGGCCCCCACGAUCGCAGGUAAUCAUGACCCGCUUUGCAUGCAGGGACUUGUCCAAUCCGUGCAGUUGCCGAGGCGCCGUGGGGAAGUGGAGACGCCCACGUCCAAUCAACCGCCAUGCGGCGCCAAAGGCCGCAGGCUGUUAGGGCCUGCGGCGCUUCGCCCUUGCCCUUUCGCCUCCCUGCACGGCCAAGUCCGGGCGCGCCUUGGGCCCGGGGGCUACUGUCGGUGUUCUGGGAACAGGGGUCCCCAGACUUGCCUGCCUGCGGCCUGCGGUGUGGCUCAAAUGGGGCCCCAGCAUGGCCCAUCUUCAUCAACACAGACCCAAGACCCUCGCGAGGGGCCAAGCCUCGCGGGGAGGAUGACACGGAGCUUCCUCAGGCACGGCCUCGUCAGGCUGGCUCGCGAGGAGGCAGAGAGAUCAAGGCGGGGUACCUCAUGAGGUGCCCGUGAUGCAAGCCAUGACGACCAAGGGUGCCAGGCGGGCGCCAGCCCGCGCAGUGUCCUCCUUUCCUCUUUAUUGCAAAGGGAACAAGCACAGGCGAGAGCAUCAAGCAAAGGCAUCCGUUUCGGUGCAACGAGACCAAGACCAGUCCAACGGCAGGGAGGAAGUCAUUGUGGAGCCCAAGCCAGCGUCACCACCAUAGCCUUUGGCAGGCGAGGACCAACUUUAGUCAGGAUAAGUGUACCAAAUGUUCCCCUUCAAAAUGGCCAAUUGUUGGCGCCCUUCCCGCUCAAUAUUUGGGAAGAGGACCAAGGCCUUCGCCUAUAAAUAGGACUAGCCACCCCCAGGGGAGAGGGGGAAAACGGAAUCAGAAAGGGAUCAAAAUCAGGGAGAGAAUCAAGGAGAGAGAGAUAGAGAGAAGGGUGACUGAACUCCUCCUAGCAGUUCAUACCCCCAGCCAAGAACAGACCCUCGCGAGGCUGUUCUUCCUUGUAUUGCUCAUCAUCAUCAGCCCAAGAGGCAAUCCACCACACCACACACUGGAGUAGGGUAUUACACCACAACGGUGGCCCGGACCAGUAUAAACCCUGUGUCUCUUGUGCUGUUCUUUCAAUAGCUUAGAUCUUAGCGAGGCGGAGGGGCGCAGGUAGGCAGAAGGCGAAAUCUCCGCGCGCACCCCAGUGUUCGAACCUCAAGGGUCUGCCGGAACCCGAAAUCCGACAUUGGUGGCCUUCGGUGAAGGCGCCAACAAACUCAUGGCACAAGUCCGACCAAGAAGAAAUGGAAUCCGCUGGCAAGUGCAUCAACCAUGACAUAACAUUGGGUUUAUGUGCCAACAAGAAGUAAUUGGAAAGCACCUUGUCGUCAUGGGCUCCAGCAGCUUGCAUCGUGAUGGUGUGGAUGCUGAGGAACUCUGACAGGUGGGUAUUGCCAUUGUACUUCUCGCCAACGUCAGGCUUGAACAUGCGGUGGGAGGGCCACUGGAACUGCUACAGCUCACAGGUAAAGGCUGGGCAACCCACCUCAUAGGGUAGGCUACCAGAGCCUCCCGGAGCUGGGUGGUCCAUAGUGGGGCUCGCCCGCCUAUCUGAAUGGUGGCGUGUGUCGCGCCGGCGCUCGAUGGUGGUUCGAGCGUCUUCACGGGCUCGUUCCCGAAGAACUUCGCGUUGAUCGCGUUGGGCCCGUGGGUCGGACGAUGCUAUGGAGAUUGUUAUCACAAGCGUCAUCACGACGGACCGGCGCCCGCGACGAUGGACGUGGGGGAGGAGAGUGCACCAUGGCCGCAGCACCUCCGGUCCUUCCACCACUGGAAUGCGGUGGCUCGACGGAGCGCCGGCCUGAGGGCCCCGCUGGUUAUGAUUCAUCUUUGUUGGCAACGUCAAUGAGGCUCCGGAUGGUGGCCCUCCACUCGUCGAGCUUUUCCGCAGCAGGAGGAAAGUCGAGGAGCAACUACGCGCGCACCAAAGCUUCUGCUGGUGUGGGUGGUGGCAAAAGCUGCAUGGACCGUGACGCGCUCCGACUUCUAACCACGUUAGAAGGAGCUCUAUCAUGGCCUGGAGGUCGUGCGCCGUUUUCGCCAGCGUCUCGCCGAGAUGACGAGGCGUUGUAGCGCCACGUUGGCUGGCUGCUGGGCUGGUGUGAUGGCGGAGCCUUCACGAAGAUCUGCAUGCCACCACGCAGGUGCUUGCUGAGUCGGUGUGGAGGCCGGACGCUACCAUGCAGAUGCCUGCCCAACUGGUCGAGCUAGCAGCUGCAUGGGAGCGGCGGUGGAGUCUUGGCAGAUGUGGGCCUGGCUGCGGCCCGCAGAUGUCCUUGGAAAGGGUCUUUCCGGGGGCGGCAAGGGUCUUGCCGUGGCACCGCGAUCGUCCCCGACAAGGAUCUUGCCGGGGGUCUCAUGGAUUUCCUUGGCAAGGAUCUCGCCAAGGAUCGUCGUCUUCUGGUUCUCAUCUGAUCUUGUGUAUUUAUGAUCUCCAUAAAGAUCUGCAUGCCACCAUGGAGGUGCCUCCCGAUCCUUGGUUUCGAUGUGGUUGAUGGCGUUGGAACCCCUUGGCUCAAGGGUGGCGUGCUCUACUGGCACAGGGCAAGUUGCCCCGACAAGGCUCUUGCCGGGGCUACGGAGGCUGCCCCGGCGGGAGUCUUGCUGGGGGAGUCCACUUCGCUUCCUUGCUCUUUCUGACUCUGGUCUUGGCGUUGCUCUUUCUGUCUUGUGCUCCGGCAUCCCUCCUCUGCCCUGCUCAGUGCGGCCAUGGGCGCUGCUCUGACUGCCCGUGCACAAGUAAAGGGGUGCAAAAGGAGAGCCCCUACUUUUGUACACUGAUAAUAACAUUUAAUUUCUUAUCAACUCUUUGUCCUAGAACAACACCUACAGCAUAAUCACUAGCAUCACACAUAAUUUCAAAGGGUAAAUUCCAAUCAGGUGGUUGAACAAUAGGUGCAGAAAUCAAGGCUUUCUUAAGUAUUUCAAAUGCUUCUACACAAUCAUCAUCAAAGACAAAAUGGAACAUCUUUUUGUAAGAGAUUAGUCAGAGGCCUAUAAAUUUUAGAGAAGUCCUUAAUGAACCUCCUAUAAAAAUCAGCAUGACCAAGAAAACUUCUUAUACCGUUAAUGUCCUUAGGACAUGGCAUAUUUUCAAUAGCAUCAACCUUAGCUUUAUCAACUUCAAUACCUCUUUCAGAAAUUUUAUGCCCCAAGACAAUACCUUCAUUAACCAUAAAGUGGCACUUCUCCCAAUUCAAGACAAGAUUAGUUUCUUCAAUCUGUGCAAAACUCGCUCAAGGUUGCUUAAGCAAUCAUCAAAAGAAGUUCCGUACACGGAGAAAUCAUCCAUGAAAACCUCAACAAUCUUUUCACAGAAGUUAGAGAAUAUAACCAUCAUACAUCUUUGAAAGGUAGCAGGUGCAUUACAUAAACCAAAAGACAUACAUCUAUAAGCAAAAGUACCGAAAGGGCAAGUAAAAGUGGUCUUUUCUUGGUCCUCUUUUGACACGGGUAUUUGAGAGAAACCAGAAUAACCAUCUAGAAAGCAAAAAUGUGUGUGUUUGGAUAAUCUUUCUAUCAUUUGAUCAAUAAAAGGUAAACGGUAAUGAUCCUUUUUAGUAGCUUUAUUUAAUUUGCGGAAAUCAAUUACCAUUCUAUAACCUGUAACAAUUCUUUGUGGGAUCAAUUCAUCUUUAUCAUUAGGAACAACAGUAAUACCUCCCUUCUCAGGGACACAAUGGACAGGACUUACCCACUGACUAUCAGCAAUGGGAUAAAUUAUACCUGCCUCUAGAACCUUAGUAUUUCUUUUCUUACCACUUCUUUCAUCUUAGGAUUUAACCGUCGUUGGUGAUCAACAACCGGUUUUACAUCUUUCUCCAAUUUUAUUUUGUGCUGGCAUAGAUUGGUACUAAUGCCCUUAAGAUCAUCAAGAGUAUAUCCAAUAGCAGCACGAUGCUUCUUCAGAUUUUUCAAUAAUUUCUUCUCUUCAUGCUCUGAAAGGUUAGCACUAAUAAUAACAAGAUAUAUCUUUUUUCAUCAAGAUAAGCAUAUUUAAGAGUAUCAGGUAAUGGUUUAAGCUCAAACACGAGAUCACCCUUGGGUGGAGGAGGAUCCCCUAGGAUUUCAACAUGCAAGUUGUGUUUCAAAAUAGGUCCCUGUUUAAAGAAUACUUCAUCGAUUUCCCUUCUUUCAUUCAUAAACAUAUCAUUUUCAUGGUCGAGCAAAUAUUGUUCUAAAGGAUCAUUAGGAGGCACGGCAAUAGAAGCAAGACCAAUAAUUUCAUCUUUACUAGGCAAUUCUUUAUCAUGGGGUUGUCUAUGAAAUUUAGCAAAAUUAAACUCAUGAGACAUAUCCCCCAAACCAAUAGUAACAACAUCCUUUUUCCAAUCUAUCCUAGCAUUAACAGUAUUCAAGAAGGGUCUACCAAAUAUAAUGGGACAAAAGUUAUCUUGUGGGGAACCAAGAACAAGAAAAUCAGCAAGAUAUUUAACUUUCCCACACAAGACUUCAACAUCUCUAACAAUCCCAACUGGUGAAAUAGUGUCUCUAUUGGCAAGCUUAAUUGUAACAUCAAUUUCCUCUAUCUCAGCAAGUGCAAUAUCAUGCAUAAUUUCAUUGUAUAAGGAAUGAGGUAUUGCACUUGCACUAGCACCCAUAUCACAUAAGCCAUGAUAGCAAUGAUCUCCUAUUUUAACAUAAAUAACAGGCAUGCCUACAAUAGGUCUAUGUUUAUUUUUAGUGCCAGGUCUAGCAAUUCUAGCAGCUUCAUCACAGAAGUAAAUAACAUGCCCAUCGAUAUUAUCGGCCAAGAGAUCCUUAACCAUAGCAAUACUAGGUUCAACUUUAAUUUUCUCAGGGGGUGUAAGUGUUCUAGUAUUACUCUUACGAACCAUAGUUGAAGUUUUAGCAUGAUCCUUUAUUCUAACAGGGAAAGGUGGUUUCUCAAUAUAAGCAGUAGGAACAACAGGAUCAACAUUAUAAGUGAUAGUCUUUUCUUCAACUUUAAUAGGUGCAACUACUUUUAAUUCAAUGGGAGGAUUAUAUUUAAACCACUUAUCCUUAGGGAGAUCAACAUGAGUAGCAAAGGAUUCACAAAAAGAAGCUACUAUCUCAGAGUCAAGUCCAUAUUUAGUGCUAAAUUCACGAAAAACAUCGGUAUCCAUAAAAAGAUUUGACACAAUCAAACUUGGGUGUAAUACCUGACUCCUUACCAUCGUCGAGAUCCCAAUCUUCAGAGUUGCAUUUAAUUCUUUCCAACAAAACCCAUUUGAAUUCAAUAGUCUUCAUCAUAAAAUAACCAGUACAAGAAGUGUCGAGCAUGGAGCGAUUAUUGAGAGAAAGUCGAGCAUAAAAUUUUGAAUAAUAAUUUCUCUUGAAAGCUCAUGAUUGCGGCAUGAAUAUAACAUUGACUUAAGCCUCCCCCAAUCUUGAGUGAUGCUUUCUCCUUCGCGAGGCCAAAAAUUAUAUAUAUAAUUACGAUCACGAUGAACCAGAUGCAUAGGAUAAAACGUCUGAUGAAAUUCCAAUUUCAAUCGGUUGUAGUUCCAUGAUCCCAUAUCAUCACAUAGCCUAAACCAUGUCAAUGCCUUUCCCUUCAAAGAUAAAGGGAAGACCUUCUUCCUGAUAACAUCCUCGGGCAUACCUGCAAGCUUAAAUAAUCCACAAACUUCAUCCACAUAGAUUAGGUGCAAAUCGGGAUGUAAUGUUCCAUCACCUGUGAAAGGAUUAGCUAGCAGUUUCUCUAUCAUACCCGAAGGAAUUUCAAAGUAAAAAAUUUCAGUAGGUUCAGUAGGUUGAGGAGCAACUCUUUGCUCUACUGGUCGGGGUGAAGAUACCCCGAACAAGCCCCUCAAAGGAUUAUGUUGCAUAGUAACAAGUGACAGUAAAUUUCAGCAUAGUAUAUAAAUUUUUCCUUACAAAAGGCGCUUCACUCCCCAUCAACGGCGCCAGAAAAGAGUCUUGAUGACCCACAAGUAUAGGGGAUCUAUGUAGUCCUUUUGAUAAGUAAGAGUGUCGAACCCAACGAGGAGCAGAAGGAAAUGACAAGCGGUUUUCAGUAAGGUAUUCUUUGCAGGCACUGAAAUUAUCGGUAACAGAUAGUUUUGUGAUAAGGUAAUUUGUAACGGGUAACAAGUAACAAAAGUAAAUAAGGUGCAGCAAUAUGGCCCAAUCCUUUUUGUAGCAAAGUACAAGCCUGGACAAACUCUUAUAUAAAGGAAAACGCUCCCGAGGACACAUGGGAAUUAUCGUCAAGCUAGUUUUCAUCACGUUCAUAUGAUUCACGUUCGUUACUUUGAUAAUUUGAUAUGUGGGUGGACCGGGGCUUGGGUAUUGUCCUUCCUUGUGAAGGAAAUAUGUCCUAGAGGCAAUAAUAAAGUUAUUAUUUAUUUCCUUAUAUUAUGAUAAAUGUUUAUUAUUCAUGCUAGAAUUGUAUUAACUGGAAACAUGAUACAUGUGUGAAUAUAUAGACAAACAGAGUGUCGCUAGUAUGACUCUACUUGACUAGCUCGUUGAUCAAAGAUGGUUAUGUUUCCUAGCCAUAGACAAAGAGUUGUCAUUUGAUUAACGGGAUCACAUCAUUAGAAGAAUGAUGUGAUUGACUUGACCCAUUCCGUUAGCUUAGCACUUGAUCGUUUAGUUUGUUGCUAUUGCUUUCUUCAUGACUUAUACAUGUUCCUAUGACUAUGAGAUUAUGCAACUCCCGUUUACCGGAGGAACACUUUGUGUGCUACCAAACAUCACAACGUAACUGGGUGAUUAUAAAGGUGCUCUACAGGUGUCUCCGAAGGUACUUGUUGGGUUGGCGUAUUUCGAGAUUACGAUUUGUCACUCCGAUUGUCGCAGAGGUAUCUCUGGGCCCACUCGGUAAUACACAUCACUUAAGCCUUGCAAGCAUUGCAACUAAUGAGUUAGUUGCGGGAUGAUGUGUUACGGAACGAGUAAAGAGACUUGUCGGUAACGAGACUGAACUAGGUAUUGACAUACCGAUGAUCAAAUCUCGGGCAAGUAACAUACCAAUGACAAAGGGAACAAUGUAUGUUGUUAUGUGGUUUGACCGAUAAAGAUCUUUGUAGAAUAUGUAGGAGCCAAUAUGAGUAUCCAGGUUCCGCUAUUGGCCCGUAGGGUCCGCACGCUUAAAGUUUGAUGACGGUUAUAUUAUGAGUUUAUGGUUUUUGAUGUACCGAAAGUAGUUCUGAGUCCCGGAUGUGAUCAUGGACAUGACAAGGAGUCUCGAAAUGUUCGAGACGUAAAGAUCGAUAUAUUGGACGACUAUAUUUGGAUACCGGAAUGGUUCUGGGUGAGAUCGGGAUAAUACCGGAGCCCCGGGAGGUUAUCGGAACCCCCGAGGAGGUAUAUGGGCCUUAAUGGGCUUUAGUGGAAAGGAGGGGAAAGGAGCAAGGGAGCCCCCCCCCCCAAGCCCAAUCCGAAUUGGGAGGGGGGCCGACCCCCCCCCCCUUUCCUUCCUCCCUCCUUCCUCUUCCUUCCCUCUCCCUCUCCAAAUAGGAAAAGGAGGAGUCCUACUCCCGGUGGGAGUAGGACUCCCCCCUUGGGCGCGCCUCCUCCCCUUGGCAGGCCCUCUUCUCCCCUCCUUUAUAUACGGAGGAGAGGGGCACCCCAUAGACACAACAAUAGAUCUCUUGGAUCUUUUAGCCAUGUGCGAUGCCCCUCUCCACCAUAGUCCACCUCGAUAAUAUCAUAGCGGUGCUUAGGCGAAGCUCUGCGAUGGUAGAACAUCAACAUUGUCACCACGUCGUCGUGCUGACGGAACUCUCCCUCAAAGCUCGGCUGGAUCGGAGUUCGAGGGACGUCAUCGAGUUGAACGUGUGCAGAACUCGGAGGUGCCGUGCGUUCGGUACUUGAUCGGUCGGAUCGUGAAGACGUACGACUACAUCAAUCGUGUUGUGCUAACGCUUCCUCUUUCGGUCUAUGAGGGUACGUGGACACACUCUCCCCUCUCGUUGCUAUGCAUCACCAUGAUCUUGCGUGUGCGUAGGAAUUUUUUUGAAAUUACUACGUUCCCCAACAAUGGCAUCCGAGCCAGGUUUUAUGCGUUGAUGUUAUAUGCACGAGUAGAACAUAAGUGAGUUGUGGGCGAUACAAGUCAUAGUGCUUUAAAGCAUGUCAUACUUUGGUUCGGCGGUAUUGUUGGAUGAAGCAGCCCGGACCGACAUUACGCGUACGCUUACGCGAGACUGGUUCUACCAACGUGCUUUGCACACAGGUGGCUGGCGGGUGUCAGUUUCUCCAACUUUAGUUGAACCGAGUGUGGCUACGCCCGGUCCUUGAGAAGGUUAAAACGGCACUAACUUGACAAACUAUCAUUGUGGUUUUGAUGCAUAGGUAAGAACGGUUCUUGCUCAGCCUGUAGCAGCCACGUAAAACUUGCAACAACAAAGUAGAGGACGUCUAACUUGUUUUUGCAGGGCAUGUUGUGAUGUGAUAUGGUCAAGACAUGAUGCUAUAUUUUAUUGUAUGAGAUGAUCAUGUUUUGUAACCGAGUUAUCGGCAACUGGCAGGAGCCAUAUUGUUGUCGCUUUAUUGUAUGCAAUGCAAUCGUCAUGUAAUUGAUUUACUUUAUCACUAAGCGGUAGCGAUAGUCGUAGAAGCAAUAGUUGGUGAGACGAUGAUACGUCUCCGUCGUAUCUAUAAUUUUUGAUUCUUCCAUGCCAAUAUUAUUCAACUUUCAUAUACUUUUUGGCAACUUUUUAUAUUAUUUUUGGUACUAACAUAUUGGACCAGUGCCCAGUGCCAGUUCCUGUCUGUUGCAUGUUUUUGGUUUCGCAGAAUAUCCAUAUCAAACGGAGUCCAAACGGGAUAAAAAACGGACGGAGCUUAUUUUUGGAAAAUAUGGAAAAUUUGGAAGGAAAAUCAACGCGAACCAGUGCCCGAGGUGUUCAUGAGGCAGGGGGCGCCCCCCCCCCCCCUAGGGCGCGCCCCUACCCUCGUGAGCCCACCGUAAGGCGGUUGAUGCUCUUCUUUUGCCGCAAGAAAGCUAAUAUUCAGAAGAAAAAAAAUCACGGCGAAGGUUUCAGGCCAAUCGGAGUUACGGAUCUUCAUAUAUACACGAAACGGUGAAACAGAGCGAGAACAGAAUGCAGAAACAAAGAGGGACAGAGAGAUAGAUCCAAUCUCGGAGGGGCUCUCGCCCCUCCCACGCCAUGGGAGCCAAGGACCAGAGGGGAAACCCUUCUCCCAUCUAGGGAGGAGGUCAAGGAAGAAGAAGAAGAAGGGGGGCCCUCUCACCCUUGCUUCCGGUGGCGCCGGAGCACUGCCGGGGCCAUCACCAUCACCGCCAUCUUCACCAACAACUUCACCGCCAUCAUCAUCAACUCUUCCCCCCUCUAUGCAUCGGUGUAACCUCUCUCUUACCCGUUGUAAUCUGUACUUAAACAUGGUGCUCAACGCUAUAUAUUAUUUCCCAAUGAUGUAUGGCUAUCCUAUGAUGUUCGAGUAGAUCUGUUUUGUCCUAAUGGCUAUUUGAUGAUCGUGAUUGGUUUGAGUUGCAUGUUUUAUUAUUGGUGCUGUCCUAUGGUGCUCUCUGUGUCGCGCAAGCGUGAGGGAUUCCCGCUGUAGGGUUUGCAAUAUGCUUAUGAUUUGCUUAUGGUGGGUGGCGUGAGUGACAGAAGCAUAGACCCGAGUAAGUAGGUUGUUUGCGUAUGGGAUAAAGAGGACUUGAUGCUUUAAUGCUAUGGUUGGGUUUUACCUUAAUGAAUCGUUAGUAGUUGCGGAUGCUUGCUAGAGUUCCAAUCAUAAGUGCAUAUGAUCCAAGUAGAGAGAGUAUGUUAGCUUAUGCCUCUCCCUCAAAUAAAAUUGCAAUAAUGAUUACCGGUCUAGUUAUCGAUUGCCUAGGGACAAAUAACCUUCUUGUUGACAAAAGCUCUUUACUAAAACUAAUUUAGUUGUGUCUUUAUCUAAACAGCCCCUAGCUUUUAUUUACGUCCUCUUUACUUUCUUGCAAGCUUACCCAAAAACACCUACAAAGUACUUAUAGUUUCAUACUUGUUUCCGGUAAAGCGAACGUCAAGCGUGCGUAGAGUUGUAUCGGUGGUCGAUAGAACUUGAGGGAAUAUUUGUUAUACCUUUAGCUCCUCGUUGGGUUCGACACUCUUACUUAUCGAAAGAGGCUACAAUUGAUCCCCUAUACUUGUGGGUUAUCAGACGACAACGAUGCUACGAUGGAGAUUAAGGUGUCGCGCUGGUGACGAUGGUGAUCAUGACGGUGCUUUGGAGAUGGAGAUCACAAGCACAAGAUGAUGAUGGCCAUAUCAUAUCACUUAUAUUGAUUGCAUGUGAUGUUUAUCUUUUAUGCAUCUUAUUUUGCUUUGAUUGACGGUAGCAUUAUAAUAUGAUCUCUCACUAAAUUUCCAGAUAAAAGUGUUCUCGCUGAGUAUGCACCGUUGCCAAAGUUCGUCGUGCCUAGACACCACAUGAUGAUCGGGUGUGAUAAGCUCUACGUCCAUCUACAACGAGUGCAAGCCAGUUUUGUACACGCAGAAUACUCAGGUUAAACUUGACGAGCCUAGCAUAUGUAGAUAUGGCCUCGGAACACUGAGACCGAAAGGUCGAGCGUGAAUCAUAUAGUAGAUGUGAUCAACAUAAUGAUGUUCACCAUUGAAAACUACUCCAUUUCACGUGAUGAUCGGUUAUGGUUUAGUUGAUUUGGAUCACGUGAUCACUUAGAUGAUUAGAGAGAUGUCUAUCUAAGUGGGAGUUCUUAAGUAAUAUGAUUAAUUGAACUUAAAUUUAUCAUGAACUUAGUACCUGAUAGUAUUUUGCAUGUCUAUGUUUGCUGUAGAUAGAUGGCUCGUGUUGUUGUUCCAUUGAAUUUUAAUGUGUUCCUUGAGAAAGCAAAGUUGAAAGAUGAUGGUAGAAAUUACACGGACUGGGUCCAUAACUUGAGGAUUAUCCUCAUUGCUGCACAGAGGAAUUACUUCCUGGCAGCACCGCUAAGUGCCAAACCUGCUGCAGGAGCAACACCAGAUGUUAUGAACAUCUGGCAGAGCAAAGCUGAUGACUACUCGAUAGUUCAGUGUGCCAUGCUUUACGGCUUAGAACUGGGACUUCAACGACAUUUUGAACGUCAUGGAGCAUAUGAGAUGUUCCAGGAGUUGAAGUUAAUAUUUCAAGCAAAUGCCCGGAUUGAGAGAUAUGAAGUCUCCAAUAAGUUCUAUAGUUGCAAGAUGGAGGAGAAUAGUUCUGUCAGUGAGCAUAUACUCAAAACGUCUGGCUAUCAUAAUCACUUGACUCAACUGGGAGUUAAUCUUCCUGUUGAUAGUAUCAUUGACAGAGUUCUUCAAUCACUGCCACCAAGCUACAAAAGCUUCUUGAUGAACUAUAAUAUGCAAGGGAUGGAUAAGAUAAUUCACGAGCUCUUCGUAAUGCUAAAGGCUGCGGAGGUAGAAAUCAAAAAGGGGCAUCAUGUGUUGAUGGUCAAUAAGACCACCAGUUUCAAGAAAAAGGGAAAAGGGAAGAAGAAGGGGAACUUCAAGAAGAAGAACAAACAAGUUGUUGCUCAUGAGAAGAAACCCAAGUCUGGACCUAAGCCUGAGACUGAGUGCUUCUACUGCAAACAGACUGGUCGCUGGAAGCGGAACUGCCCCAAGUAUUUGGCGGAUAAGAAGGAUGGCAAGGUGAACAAAGGUAUAUGUGAUAUACAUGUUAUUGAUGUGUACCUUACCAGAGCUUGAAGUAGUACCUGGGUAUUUGAUACUGGUUCUGUUGCUAAUAUUUGCAACUCGAAACAGGGACUACGGAUUAAGCAAACACUGGCUAAGGACGAGGUGACGAUGCGCGUGGGAAAUGGUUCCAAAGUCGAUGUGAUCGCCGUCGACACGCUACCUCCAUAUCUACCUUCGGGAUUAGUUUUAGACCUAAAUAAUUGUUAUUUGGUGCCAUCAUUGAGCAUGAACAUUAUACCUGGAUCUUGUUUAAUGCGAGACGGUUAUUCAUUUAAAUCUGUGAAUAAUGGAUGUUCUAUUUAUAUGAUUAAUAUCUUUUAUGGUCAUGCACCCUUAAAGAGUGGUCUAUUUUUGAUGAAUCUCGAUAGUAGUGAUACACAUAUUCAUAAUGUUGAAGCCAAAAGAUGCAGAGUUGAUAAUGAUAGUGCAACUUAUUUGUGGCACUGCCAUUUGGGUCAUAUUGGUAUAAAGCGCAUGAAGAAACUCCAUACUGAUGGACUUUUGGAAUCACUUGAUUAUGAAUCAGUUGGUACUUGCGAACCAUGCCUCAUGGGCAAGUGACUAAAACGUCAUUCUCCGAAACUAUGGAGCGAGCAACUGAUUUGUUGGAGAUCAUACAUACUGAUGUAUGUGGUCCGAUGAAUGUUGAGGCUUGCGGCGGGUAUCGUUAUUUUCUCACCUUCACACAUGAUUUAAGCAGAUAUGGGUAUAUCUACUUAAUGAAACAUAAGUCUGAAACAUUUGAAAAGUUCAAAGAAUUUUAGAGUGAAGUUGAAAAUCAUCAGAAGAAGAAAAUAAAGUUUCUAUGAUCUAAUCGUAGAGGAGAAUAUUUGAGUUACGAGUUUGGUCUACAUUUGAAACAAUGCGGAAUAGUUUCGCAACUCGCGCCACCCGGAACACCACAGCGUAAUGGUGUGUCUGAACGUUGUAAUCGUACUUUACUAGAUAUGGUGCGAUCUAUGAUGUCUCUUACUGAUUUACCGCUAUCAUUUUGGGGUUAUGCUUUAGAGACGGACGCAUUCACGUUAAAUAGGGCACCAUCAAAAUCCGUUGAGAAGACACCUUAUGAACUAUGGUUUGGCAAGAAACCAAAGUUGUCGUUUCUUAAAGUUUGGGGCUGCAAUGCUUAUGUGAAAAAGCUUCAACCUGAUAAGCUCGAACCCAAAUCGGAGAAAUGUGUCUUCGUAGGAUACCCACAAGAAACUGUUGGGUACACCUUCUAUCACAGAUCUGAAGGCAAAACAUUCGUUGCUAAGAAUGGAUCCUUUCUAGAGAAGGAGUUUCUCUCGAAAGAAGUGAGUGGGAGGAAAGUAGAACUUGAUGAGGUAGCAGUACCUGCUCCCUUAUUGGCAAGUAGUUCAUCACAGAAACCAGUUCCUCUGACGUCUACACCAAUUAGUGAGGAAGUUAAUGAUAAUGAUCAGGAAACUUCAGAUCAAGUUGUUACUGAACCUCGUAGGUCAACCAGAGUAAGAUCCGCACCAGAGUGGUACGAUAAUCCUGUUCUGGAGGUUAUGUUAGUAGACCAUGACGAACCAACGAACUAUGAAGAAGCGAUGGUGAGCCCAGACCGCAAAAUGGCUUGAGGCCAUGAAAUCUAAGAUGGGAUCCAUGUAUGAGAACAAAGUGUGGACUUUGGUUGACUUUCCAGAUGAUCGGCAAGCCAUCGAGAAUAAAUGGAUCUUCAAGAAGAAGACUGGCGCUGACGGUAAUGUUACUGUCUAUAAAGCUCGACUUGUUGCAAAAGGUUUUCAACAAGUUCAAGGUAUUGACUACGAUGAGACCUUCUCACCCGUAGCGAUGCUUAAGUCUGUCUGAAUCAUGUUAGCAAUUGCCGCAUUUUAUGAUUAUGAAAUUUGGCAAACGGAUGUCAAAACUGCAAUUCUGAAUGAAUUUCUGGAAGAAGAGUUGUAUAUGAUGCAACCGGAAGGUUUUGUCGAUCCAAAGGGAGCUAACAAAGUGUGCAAGCUCCAGUGAUCCAUUUAUGGACUGGUGCAAGCCUCUCAGAGUUGGAAUAAAUGUUUUGAUAGUGUGAUCAAAGCAUAUGGUUUUAUACAGACUUUUGGAGAAGCCUGUAUUUACAAGAAAGUGAGUGGGAGCUUUGUAGCAUUUCUGAUAUUAUAUGUGGAUGACAUAUUGUUGAUUGGAAAUGAUAUAGAAUUUCUGGAUAGCAUAAAAGGAUAUUUGAAUAAGAGUUUUUCAAUGAAAGACCUCGGUGAAGCUGCUUAUAUAUUGGGCAUCAAGAUCUAUAGAGAUAGAUCGAGACGCUUAAUUGGACUUUCACAAAGCACAUACCAUGACAAAGUUUUGAAUAAGUUCAAAAUGGAUCAAGCAAAGAAAGGGUUCUUGUCUGUGUUACAAGGUGUGAAGUUGAGUAAGACUCAAUGCCCGACCACUGCAGAAGAUAGAGAGAAAAUGAAAGAUGUUCCCUAUGCUUCAUCCAUAGGCUCUAUCAUGUAUGCAAUGUUGUGUACCAGAACUGAUGUGUGCCUUGCUAUUAGUUUAGCAGGGAGGUACCAAAGUAAUCCAGGAGUGGAUCACUGGACAACGGUCAAGAACAUCCUAAAAUACCUGAAAGGGACGAAAGAUAUGUUUCUCGUUUAUGGAGGUGACAAAGAGCUCGUCAUAAAUGGUUACGUUGAUGCAAGCUUUGACACUGAUCCGAACAAUUCUAAAUCACAAACCGGAUACGUGUUUUUAUUAAAUGAUGGAGCUGUCAGUUGGUGCAGUUCUAAACAAAGCGUCGUAGCGGGAUCUACAUGUGAAGCAGAGUACAUAGCUGCUCCGUAAGCAGCAAAUGAAGGAGUCUAGAUGAAGGAGUUCAUAUCCGAUCUAGGUGUCAUACCUAGUGCAUCGGGUCCAAUGAAAAUCUUUUGUGACAAUACUGGUGCAAUUGCUUUGGCAAAGGAAUCCAGAUUUCACAAGAGAACCAAGCACAUCAAGAGACGCUUCAACUCCAUCCGGGAUCAAGUCCAGGUGGGAGACAUAGAGAUUUUCAAGAUACUUAUGGAUCUGAAUGUUGCAGACCAGUUGACUAAGCCUCUUCCACGAGCAAAACAUGAUCAGCACCAAGGCUCCAUGAGUGUUAGAAUCAUUACUGUGUAAUCUAGAUUAUUGACUCUAGUGGGAGACUGAAGGAAAUAUGCCCUAGAGGAAAUAAUAAAGUUAUUGUUUAUUUCCUUAUAUCAUGAUAAAUGUUUAUUAUUCAUAAUAGAAUUGUAUUAACCGGAAACAUGAUACAUGUGCGAAUACAUAGACAAACAGAGUGUCACUAGUAUGCCUCUACUUGACUAGCUCAUUGAUCAAAGAUGGUUAUGUUUCCUAGCCAUAGACAAAGAGUUGCCAUUUGAUUAAUGGGAUCACAUCAUUAGGAGAAUGAUGUGAUUGACUUGACCCAAUCCAUUAGCUUAGCACUUGAUCGUUUAGUUUGUUGCUAUUGCUUUCUUCAUGACUUAUACAUGUUCCUAUGACUAUGAGAUUAUGCAACUCCCGUUUACCGGAGAAACACUUUGUGUGCUACCAAACGUCACAAUGUAACUGGGUGAUUAUAAAGGUGCUCUACAGGUGUCUCCGAAGGUACUUGUUGGGUUGGCGUAUUUCGAGAUUAGGAUAUGUCACUCCGAUUGUCGGAGAGGUAUCUCUGGGCCCACUCGGUAAUACACAUCAGUUAAGCCUUGCAAGCAUUGCAACUAAUGAGUUAGUUGUGGGAUGAUGUGUCACGGAACGAGUAAAGAGACUUGCUGGUAAUGAGAUUGAACUAGGUAUUGCGAUAUCGAUGAUCGAAUCUCGGGCAAGUAACAUACCAAUGACAAAGGGAACAACAUAUGUUGUUAUGCGGUUUGACUGAUAAAGAUCUUCGUAGAAUAUGUAGGAGCCAAUAUGAGCAUCCAGGUUCCGCUAUUGGUUAUUGACCGUAGACGUGUCUCGGUCAUGUCUACAUAGUUCUCGAACCCGUAGGGUCCGCGCGCUUAAAGUUCGAUGACGGUUAUAUUAUGAGUUUAUGGUUUUUGAUGUACCGAAGGUAGUUCGGAGUCUCGGAUGUGAUCACAAACAUGACGAGGAGUCUCGAAAUGUUCGAGACGUAAAGAUUGAUAUAUUGGAUGACUAUAUUUAGAUACCGGAAUGGUUCCGGGUGAGAUCGGGAUAAUACCCGAGCACCGGGAGGUUAUCGGAACCCCCCGGGAGGUAUAUGGGCCUUAAUGGCCUUUAGUGAAAGGAGGGGAAAGGAGCAAGGGAGGGGGUGCGCCCCCCAAGCCCAAUCCGAAUUGGGAGGGCCCCCCCCCCCUUUCCUUCCUCCCUCCUUCCUCUUCCUUCCCUCUCCCUCUCCAAAUAGGAAAAGGAGGAGUCCUACUCCCGGUGGGAGUAGGACUCCCCCCUUGGGCGUGCCUCCUCCCCUUGGCCGUCCCUCUCCUCCCCUCCUUUAUAUACGGAGGAGAGGGGCACCCCAUAGACACAACAAUUAAUCUCUUGGAUCUUUUAGCCGUGUGCGGUGCCCCUCUCCACCAUAGUCCACCUCGAUAAUACCGUGGCGGUGCUUAGGCGAAGCCCUGCGACGGUAGAACAUCAACAUCGUCACCACGCCAUCGUGCUGAUGGAACUCUCCCUCAAAGCUCGGCUGGAUCGAAGUUCGAGGGAUGUCAUCGAGUUGAAUGUGUGCAGAACUCGGAGGUGUCGUGCAUUCGGUACUUGAUCGGUCGGAUCGUGAAGACGUACGACUACAUCAACCACGUUGUGCUAACGCUUCCGCUUUCGGUCUACGAGGGUACGUGGACACACUCUCCCCUCUCGUUGUUAUGCAUCACCAUGAUCUUGCGUGUGCAUAGGAAUUUUUUUGAAGUUACUACGUUCCCCGACACCUUGGACAAGCAUCCCACUUAUGAUUAACCCCUAUUGCAAGCAUCUGCAACUACAAAAGAAGUAUUAAGGUAAACCUAACCAUAGCAUGAAACAUAUGGAUCCAAAUCAGCCCUUACGAAGCAACACAUAAACUAGGGUUUAAGCUUCUGUCACUCUAGCAACCCAUCAUCUACUUAUUACUUCCCAAUGCCUUCCUCUAGGCUCAAACAAUGGUGAAGUGUCAUGUAGUCGACGUUCACAUAACACCACUAGAGGAAAGACAACAUACAUCUCAUCAAAGUAUUGAACGAAUACCAAAUUCACAUGGCUACUUAUAGCAAGACUUCUCCCAUGUCCUCGGGAACAAACGUAACUACUCACAAAUCGUAUUCAUGUUCAUAAUCAGAGGGGUAUUAAUAUGCAUAAAGGAUCUUAACAUAUGAUCUUCCACCAAAUAAAACAACUAGCAUCAACUACAAGGAGUAAUCAACACUACUAGCAACCCACAGGUACCAAUCUAAGGUUUUGGGACAAAGAUUGGAUACAAGAGAUGAGCUAGGGUUUUAGAGGAGAUGGUGCUGGUGAAGAUGUUGAUGGAGAUUGACCCCCUCCCGCUAAGAGGAUCGAUGGUGAUGAUGAUGGUGAUGAUUUUCCCCUCCCGGAGGGAUGUUUCCCCGGCAGAACAGCUCCGUCGGAGCCCCAGAUUGGUUCCGCCAAGGUUCCGCCUUGUGGCAGCGGAGUUUCGUCCCGAGAGCUUGCUUAUAAUUUUUUUCUUGGACGAAAGACUUCAUAUAGCAGAAGAUGGGCACCGGAGGCCUGCCAGGGGGCCCACGAGACAGGGGGCGCGCCGAGGGGGUAGGGCACGCCCCCCACCCUCGUGGCCAGGGUGUGGGCCCCUCUGGUUAAUUCUUUCGCCAGUAUUUUUAUAUAUUCCAAAACGUGCUCCCGUGAAGUUUCAGGACUUUUGGAGUUGUGCAGAGUAGGUCUCUAAUAUUUGCUCCUUUUCCAGCCCAGAAUUCCAGCUGCUGGCAUUCUCCCUCUUCAUGUAAACCUUGUAAAAUAAGAGAGAAAAGACAUAAGUAUUGUGACAUAAUGUGUAGUAACAUCUCAUAAUGCAAUAAAUAUCGAUAUAAAAGCAUGAUGCAAAAUGGACGUAUCAUUGACCGAUAACGGUUACUUAAGUGCGUACACAAAAUAGAUACAUAUAUAUAAAUGAUGGUUUCUGAUCAGCUGUGUUGACAAUGUUUCACAUUGAGCUUCUUCCUUUUCUUGUUCGUUGCCGAUUAAUUAAGCCCCUCCUUGUGACUUUUCUGUAACCAUGGAGUACGGUCUUUCUUAGGUAAUGUAGUAUUGAUUCUUCUUUUCACGUAUGCUUCAUCGUCAUCGUCAUCCUCCCUCAUCGGGUUGCCGUACUGGUCGUAGUCUUCCUCGUUGGCGACUCCAUCCAUUCCGACGAUGCUCCUUUUGGAUCUCCUCACGACAACACGGUUGGGAUUGGUCGGGUCGGUUAUGAAGAAGCAUUGUGUCAGGUGCUUAGCGUGUACCCAUGGCUCAUUUUUGGUGAUGACGUUAACAUUCACGGGAGUGCUCUUCGCGUCGGGUAUAGACAUGGUGGUGAAAUACUUAUUUUCUCUUACGACAUCCUUGGCCCAUCUGACACGGAACAUCGUCGCAUCGUGCAUUCCAGCAUAGUCAAGCUCCCAGAUCUCUUCGACCCUUUCGUAGAAUCUUUCAGUUGUGCCGUUGGCGUCGGUCACGCAUUCAAUUGUCACCCCGGAGUUCUGGUAAUCAUUGUCCAUGUCUUUGGCCUCCAUGUAGAACAUGUACCCAUUGAUAUCGUAGGACUGAUAGGUCGCGAGCUUGGGCGCGGGUCCAUGUGCUAAGACGUGUACGAGCAAUCCAUCUGAACUGCCCUCUUCUGGGGGAUUUCCAAGAACUUGCUCUUUGAACCAAUGCAAGAAAGUGGUGUUGUGCUCUACAGUAACUUCGUCGUCCAUCUUGAGCGUCCCCUUAUCACGAUACUUCUUUGCGAUGCUUUCUUUGUUCCAUGCCACAUAAUCAUCUACCUCGUCUAGGUGUUGUAGCACUACUAAGUUAGCCCUGUCAAAGUAGUUCCGUCGAUCCGAGUAGUCCACGUGCAAUUCCCUCCGGCCGUUGUUGUGACCAUCUCCUUAGAGCUUCCCAUCGUGCUUCUUUACGGGCAAACCAACAGUAGGGUCUCUGACACUAUAUAAUUCUCGCAAAAGGAUAUGCACUCAUGUGUCAGAUACCCCUCGACGAUGCUCCCUUCGGGACGGUACAUGUUACGAACGAAUCCUUUGAUGACCCCAUUCAUCCUCUCAAACGACAUCAUGCUGUGAAGGAAUUUCGGCACGAGGUCGAUGAUGUCGUUCACGAUGUGGACACAUAGAUGCACCAUGAUGUCAAAAAACGCGGGCGGGAAGUACAUCUCAAGCUCACAUAGUAUGACAACGAUCUCUUCAUGUAGCCUUCGGAGCUGCUUCACACUUAUGGACUUUCGAGAGAUAACGUCGAAGAAGUUGCAGAGACCAGUAAGUGUGUCACAGACGUGCUUCUCCAUCAUCCCUUUAAUGGCAACCGGUAGUAUCUGCGUCAUCAUCACGUGAUAGUCAUGAGACUUCAUCCCGCUGAACCUUUUCUUCUUGGGGUCUAGAAAUCUACUUAUCUUCCCACAGUAACCGGAACUGACUUUGAUUCCCAUAAGGCACUUGAUGAAUUGAUCAAUCUCCUUCGCACUUAAGGUGAAGCAAGAAGGGGGGCAAUAAUUCUCCUCCUUUUUGUUGACUUUUCUGCCCCUUUCCCCCUCCUUCGUCUUUGUAUCCUCCGUUGACUUUUUACCGUGGAGAUCUUUCCUGAUCUUCAAAUCUUCCAAGUCUUUCCUUGCCUUCGGCCCAUCCUUGGUCUUCUCCGGCAUGUUCAUCAAUGUGCCAAGAAAGCUUUCAAGGACAUUCUUCGUGAUAUGCAUUUGAUCAAGGCAAUGAGGUGUGUCGUCAUUGGGCCAGUACUCCAAGUCCCAAAAAAUAGACCUUGUUUUCCAUACCUUCAGCAAUGGCUCCGGUGCCUUUUUGAUCUUUCCUGACGUAGGGCAUUGUUCCCAGUUUCUCAACAGCUUGUUGAUUUCGGGGCCGCUCCUCUUACGUGGAGGUCCUCAAAGCUCAGCCAACCCAUUGAAUAGAUCUCCACGCUUUCUCCACGGGUCAUCCUUCUCGAGCCAUCUACGAUGCCCCAUGUACACGAUUUUCCCGGACCCACCAUCUUUCGUUGACGUAAGCUGCUGAGACGUUGUAUCAUCCAUGCACCUCGUGCAUCCGCAGUAUCCGUGGCACACCUAGCCUGAGGUGUACCCGUAACCGAGAUAGCCGUGCACCGUCGUCAUCAGCGCGGCUCUCAUAUGGAAAUACUCUCCUUUGCUGGUGUCCCAUGUCCAUGUCGGUGUUUUCCAUAACGUGUCUAGCUCCUCUUGCAAAAGCCCCAUGUACAGGUUAAUACUAUUUCCCGGUUGUUUCGGCCCUUGAAUCAGCAUGCUCAUGUGUAUGUACUUUGUCUUCAUGCACUUCCAUGGGGGUAGGUUGUGAAGGAAAUAUGCCCUAGAGGCAAUAAUAAAGUUAUUAUUUAUUUUCUUAUUUCAUGAUAAAUGUUUAUUAUUCAUGCUAAAAUUGUAUUAACCGGAAACAUUAUACAUGUGUGAAUACAUAGACAAACAAAGUGUCACUAGUAUGCCUCUACUUGACUAGCUCGUUAAUCGAAGAUGGUUAUGUUUCCUAACCAUAGACAUGUGUUGUCAUUUGAUUAAUGGGAUCACAUCAUUAGAAGAAUGAUGUGAUUGACAUGACCCAUUCCAUUAGCUUAGCACCCGAUCGUUUAGUAUGUUGCUAUUGCUUUCUUCAUGACUUAUACAUGUUCCUAUGACUAUGAGAUUAUGCAACUCCCGUUUACCAGAGGAACACUUUGUGUGCUACCAAACAUCACAACAUAACUGGGUGAUUAUAAAGGAGCUCUACUGGUGUCUCCAAAGGUAAAUGUUGGGUUGGCGUAUUUCGAGAUUAGGAUUUUUCACUCCGAUUGUCGGAGAGGUAUCUCUGGGCCCUCUCGGUAAUGCACAUCACAUAAGCCUUGCAAGCAUUACAACUAAUGAGUUAGUUGCGAGAUGAUAUAUUACGAAACAAGUAAAGAGACUUGCCGGUAACGAGAUUGAACUAGGUAUUGAGAUACCGACGAUCGAAUCUUGGGCAAGUAACAUAACGAUGACAAAGGGAACAACGUAUGUUGUUAUGCGGUCUGACCGAUAAAGAUCUUCGUAGAAUAUGUAGGAGCCAAUAUGAGCAUCCAGGUUCCGCUAUUGGUUAUUGACCGGAGACGUGUCUCGGUCAUGUCUACAUUGUUCUCGAACCCGUAGGGUCCGCACGCUUAAGGUUUCGAUGACAGUUAUAUUAUGAGUUUAUGCAUUUUGAUGUACCGAAGUUUGUUAGGAGUCCCGGAUGUGAUCACGGACAUGAUGAGGAGUCUCGAAAUGGACGAGACAUAAAGAUUGAUAUAUUGGAAGCCUAUAUUUGGAUAUCGGAAGUGUUCCGGGUGAAAUCGGGAUUUUUACCAGAGUACCGGGAGGUUACCGGAACCCCCCGGGAGGUAUAUGGGCCUUAGUGGGCUUUAGUGGAAGAGAGGAGAGAUGGCCAGGGCUGGGCCGCGCGCCCCUCCCCCCUAGUCCGAAUAGGACAAGGAGAGGGGGGCGGCUCCCCCCUUCCUUCUCUCUCUCUCCUCUUUCCCCCCUUCCCGAAUCCUAUUCCAACUAGGAAAGGGGGGGAAUCCUACUCCAGGUGGGAGUAGGACUCCUCCUGGCGCGCCCUCCUCCUGACCGGCCGCACCUCCCCCUUGUUCCUUUAUAUACGGAGGCAGGGGGCACCCCUAGAGACACAAGUUGAUCCACGUGAUCGUUUUCUUAGCCGUGUGCGGUGCCCCCUUCCACCAUAAUCCUCGAUAAUAUUGUAGCGGUGCUUAGGCGAAGCCCUGCAACGAUAGAACAUCAAGAUCGUCACCAUGUCGUCGUGCUGACGGAACUCUUCCCCGACGCUUUGCUGGAUCGAAGUCCGGGGAUCGUCAUCGAGCUGAACGUGUGCUAAAACUCGGAGGUGCCGUAGUUUCGGUGUUUGAUAGGUCGGGCCGUGAAGACGUACGACUACAUCAACCGUGUUGUGCUAACGCUUCCGCUGUCGGUCUACAAGGGUAUGUAGAUCACACUCUCCCCUCGUUGCUAUACAUCACCAUGAUCUUGCGUGUGCGUAGGAAUUUUUUUGAAAUUACUACGUUCCCCAAUAGUGGCAUCAGAGCCUAGGUUUUAUGUGUUGAUGUUAUAUGCACGAGUAGAACACAAGUAAGUUGUGGGCGAUAUAAGUCAUACUGCUUACCAGCAUGUCAUACUUUGGUUCGGCGGUAUUGUUGGACGAAGCGGCCCGGACCGACAUUACGCGUACGCUUACGCGAGACCGGUUCUCCCGACGUGCUUUGCACAAAGGUGGCUAGCAGGUGACAGUUUCUCCAACUUUAGUUGAACCGAGUGUGGCUACGCCCGGUCCUUGCGAAGGUUAAAAUAGCACCAACUUGACAAACUAUCGUUGUGGUUUUGAUACGUAGGUAAGAUUGGUUCUUGCUUAAGCCCGUAGCAGCCACGUAAAACUUGCAACAACAAAGUAGAGGACGUCUAACUUGUUUUUGCAGGGCAUGUUGUGAUGUGAUAUGGUCAAGACAUGAUGCUAAAUUUUAUUGUAUGAGAUGAUCAUGUUUUGUAACCAAGUUAUCGGCAACUGGCAGGAGCCAUAUGGUUGUCGCUUUAUUGUAUGCAAUGCAAUUGCACUGUAAUGCUUUACUUUUUCACUAAGCGGUAGCGAUAGUCGUGGAAGCAUAAGAUUGGCAAGACGACAACGAUGCUACGAUGGUGAUCAAGGUGUCGCGCCGGUGACGAUUGUGAUCACGACGGUGCUUCGAAGAUGGAGAUCACAAGCACAAGAUGAUGAUGGCCAUAUCAUAUCACUUAUAUUGAUUGCAUGUGAUGUUUAUCUUUUAUGCAUCUUAUCUUGCUUUGAUUGACGGUAGCAUUUUAAGAUGAUCUCUCACUAAUUAUCAAGAAGUGUUCUCCCUGAGUAUGCACCGUUGCGAAAGUUCUUCAUGCUGAGACACCACGUGAUGAUCGGGUGUGAUAGGCUCUACGUUCAAAUACAACAGGUGCAAAACAGUUGCACACGCAGAAUACUCAGGUUAUACUUGAUGAGCCAAGCAUAUACAGAUAUGGCCUCAGAACACAGAGACCGAAAGGUCGAGCGUGAAUCAUAUAGUAGAUAUGAUCAACAUAGUGAUGUUCACCAAUGAAACUACUCCAUCUCACGUGAUGAUCGGACAUGGUUUAGUUGAUUUGGAUCACGUGAUCACUUAGAGGAUUAGAGGGAUGUCUAUCUAAGUGGGAGUUCUUAAGUAAUAUGAUUAAUUGAACUUAAAUUUAUCAUGAACUUAGUCUUGGUAGUAUUUUGCAAAUCAUGUUGUAGAUCAAUAGCUCGCGUUGUUGCUUCCCUGUGUUUAUUUUGAUAUGUUCCUAGAGAAAAUUGUGUUGAAAGAUGUUAGUAGCAAUGAUGUGGAUUGGAUCCGUGAUCUGAGGUUUAUCCUCAUUGCUGCACAGAAGAAUUAUGUCCUUGAUGCACCGCUAGGUGACAGACCUAUUACAGGAGCAGAUGCAGACGUUAUGAACGUUUGGCUGGCUCAAUAUGAUGGCUACUUGAUAGUUUAGUGCACCAUGCUUAACGGCUUAGAAUCGGGACUUCAAAGACGUUUUGAACGUCAUGGACCAUAUGAGAUGUUCCAGGAGUUGAAGUUAAUAUUUCAAGCAAAUACCCGAGUUGAGAGAUAUGAAGUCUCCAACAAGUUCUAUAGCAAAAAAAUGGAGGAGAAUCGCUCAACUAGUGAGCAUGUGCUCAGAUUGUCUGGGUACUACAAUCGCUUGAAUCAAGUGGGAGUUAAUCUUCCAGAUAAGAUAGUGAUUGACAGAAUUCUCUAGUCACCAUCACCAAGUUAGUAGAACUUCGUGAUGAACUAUAGUAUGCAAGGGAUAACGAAAACGACUCCCGAGCUUUUCAUGAUGAUGAAAUCGAUGAAGGUAGAAAUCAAGAAAGAGCAUGAAGUGUUGAUGGUUGACAAGAUCACUAGUUUCAAGAAAAGGGCAAAGAAAAAAAGGGGAACUUCAAGAAAAACAGCAAGCAAGUUGCUGCUCAAGUGAAGAAGCCCAAGUCUGGUCCUAAGCCUGAGACUAAGUGCUUCUACUGCAAAGGGACUGGUCACUGUAAGCGGAACUACCCCAAGUGAUUGGCGGAUAAGAAGGAUGGCAAAGUGAACAUAAGUAUAUUUGAUAUACAUGUUAUUGAUGUGUACUUUACUAGUGUUUAUAACAACCCCUCGGUAUUUGAUACUGGUUCAGUUGCUAAGAUUAGUAACUCGAAAUGGGAGUUGCAGAAUAAACAGAGACUAGUUAAGGGUGAAGUGACGAUGUGUGUUGGAAGUCGUUCCAAGAUUGAUAUGAUCAUCAUCGCACACUCCCUAUACUUUCGGGAUUAGUGUUGAACCUAAAUAAGUGUUAUUUGGUGUUUGCAUUGAGCAUGAAUAUGAUUUGAUCAUGUUUAUUGUAAUACAGUUAUUCAUAUAAGUAAGAGAAUAAAUUGUUGUUCUGUUUACAUGAAUAAAACCUUAUAUGGUUACACACCCAAUGAAAAUGGUUCAUUGGAUCUCGAUCGUAGUGAUACACAUAUUCAUAAUAUUGAAACCAAAAGAUGCAAAGUUAAUAAUGAUAGUGCAACUUAUUUGUGGCACUGCCGUUUAGGUCAUAUUGGUGUAAAGCACAUGAAGAAACUCCAUGCUGAUGGGAUUUUGGAAUCAUUUGAUCAUGAAUCACUUGGUGCUUGCGAACCAUGCCUCAUGGGCAAGAUGACUAAGACUCUGUUCUUCGGAACAAUGGAGCGAGCAACAGAUUUGUUGGAAAUCAUACAUACUGAUGUAUGUGGUCCGAUGAAUAUUGAGGCUCGCGACAGGUAUCAUUAUUUUCUGAUCUUCACAAAUGAUUUGAGAAGAUAUGAGCAUAUCUACUUGAUGAAACACAAGUCUAAAACAUUUGAAAAGUUCAAAGAAUUUCAGAGUGAAGUGGAGAAUCAUCGUAACAAAAAUAAAAGUUUCUACGAUAUGAUCGCAGAAGUAAAAUAUUUGAGUUACGAGUUUGGCCAUCAGUUAAAAACAAUGUGAAAUAGUUUCACUACUCACGCCACCUGGAACACCACAGUGUAAUGGUGUGUCCGAACGUCAUAACCGUACUUUAUUGGAUAUAGUACAAUCUAUGAUGUUUCUUACCGAUUUACCAAUAUCGUUUUGGGAUCAUGCAUUAGAGACAGAUGCAUUCACGUUAAAAAGGGGCACCAUCUAAGUCCAUUGAGACGACAUAAUCUGAACUGUGGUUUGGCAAGAAACCAAAGUUGUUGUUUCUUAAAGUUUGGAUUGUGAUGCUUAUAUGAAAAAGUUUCAUCCUGAUAGGCUCAAACCCAAAUCGGACAAAUAUGUCUUCAUAGGAUACCCAAAGGAGACUGUUGGGUACACCUUCUAUCACAGAUCCGAAGGCAAGACAUUCGUUGCUAAGAAUGGAUCCUUUCUAGAGAAGGAGUUUCUCUUGAAAGAAGUGAGUGGGAGGAAAGUAGAACUUGAUAAGGUAAUUGUACCUUCUCCCUUAUUAGAAAGUAGUUCAUCAUAGAAAUCUGUUCCUGUGACUACUACACCAAUUAGUGAGGAAGCUAAUGAUGAUGAUCAUGUAACUUCAGAUCAAGUUACUACCGAAUCUCGUAGGUAAACCAGAGUGAGAUGCGCACCAGAGUGGUACGGUAAUCCUGUUCUGGAAGUCAUGUUACUAGACCAUGACGAACUUGCGAACUAUGAGGAAGCGAUGAUGAGCCCAGAUUCUGCGAAAUGGUUUGAGGCCAUGAAAUCUGAGAUAUGAUCCAUGUAUGAGAACAAAGUAUGGACUUUGAUGGAUUUGCCCGAUGAUCGGCAAGCCAUAGAAAAUAAAUGGAUCUUCAAGAGGAAGACGGACGCUGAUAGUAGUGUUACUAUCUAUAAAGCUAGAAUUGUCGCAAAAAGGUUUUCGACAAGUUCAAGAUGUUGACUACGAUGAGAGUUUCUCACUCGUAUCUAUGCUUAAGUCUGUCCGAAUCAUGUUAGCAAUUGCCGCAUUUUAUGAAAUCUGGCAAAUGGAUAAACAAAGCUGCAUUCCUAAAUGGAUUUCUUAAAGAAGAGUUGUAUAUGAUGCAACCAGAAGGUUUUGUCAAUCCUAAAAGUGUUAACAAAAUAUGCAAGCUCCAACGAUCCAUCUGUGGACUGGUGCAAGCAUCUCGGAGUUGGAAUAUGCGCUUUGAUGAGAUGAUCAAAGUAUAUAGUUUUAUACAGACUUGUGGUGAAGCCUGUAUUUACAAGAAAGUGAGUGGGAGCACUAUAGCAUUUCUGACAAGUAUAUGUGAAUGACAUAUUAUUGAUCGGAAAUAAUGUAGAAUUAUUCUGCAAAGCAUAAAGGAGUGUUUGAAAGAAGUUUUUCAAAGAAAGACCUCGGCGAAGCUGCUUACAUAUUAAGCAUCAAGAUCUAUAGAGAUAGAUCAAGACGCUUGAUAAGUUUUUCCAAUGAGUACAUACCUUGACAAGAUUUUGAAGUAGUUCAAAAUAGAACAGUCAAAGAAAGAGUUCUUGCCUGUGUUACAAGGUGUGAAAUUGAGUAAGACUCAAAGCCCAACCACGGCAGAAGAUAGAAAGAGAAUGAAAGUCAUUCCCUAUGCCUCAGCCAUAGGUUCUAUAAAGUAUGUCAUGCUGUGUACCAGAUCUAUUGUAUACCCUACACUGAUGUUGGCAAGGGAGUACAAUAGUGAUCUAGGAGUAGAUCACUGGACAGCGGUCAAAAUUAUCCUUACUGGAAUAAGGAUAUGUUUCUCGAUUAUGGAGGUGACAAAAGGUUCAUCGUAAAGGGUUACAUCGAUACAAACUUUGACACUGAUCCAGAUGAUUCUAAGUCUCAAUCUGGAUGCAUAUUGAAAGUGGGAGCAAUUAGCUGGAGUAGCUCCGUGCAGAGCAUUGUUGACAUAGAAAUUUGCAAAAUACAUACGGAUCUGAAUAUGGUAGACCCAUUGACUAAACUUCUCUCACAGGCAAAACAUGAUCACACCUUAGUACACUUUGGGUGUUAAUCACAUAGCAAUGUGAACUAGAUUAUUGACUCUAGUAGACCCUUUGGGUGUUGGUCGCAUGACGAUGUGAACUAUGGGUGUUAAUCACAUGGUGAUGUGAAUUAUUGAUGUUAAAUCACAUGUUGAUGUGAACUAGAUAAUUGACUCUAGUGCAAGUGGGAGACUGAAGGAAAUAUGCCCUAGAGGCAAUAAUAAAGUUAUUAUUUAUUUUCUUAUUUCAUGAUAAAUGUUUAUUAUUCAUGCUAAAAUUGUAUUAGCCAGAAACAUAAUACAUGUGUGAAUACAUAGACAAACAACGUGUCACUAGUAUGCCUCUACUUGACUAGCUCGUUAAUCGAAGAUGGUUAUGUUUCCUAACCAUAGACAUGUGUUGUCAUUUGAUUAAUGGGAUCACAUCAUUAGAAGAAUGAUGUGAUUGACAUGACCCAUUCCAUUAGCUUAGCACCCGAUCGUUUAGUAUGUUGCUAUUGCUUUCUUCAUGACUUAUACAUGUUCCUAUGACUAUGAGAUUAUGCAACUCCCGUUUACCGGAGGAACACUUUGUGUGCUACCAAACGUCACAACGUAACUAGGUGAUUAUAAAGGAGCUCUACAGGUGUCUCCAAAGGUAAAUGUUGGGUUGGCGUAUUUCGAGAUUAGGAUUUGUCACUCCGAUUAUCGGAGAGGUAUCUCUGGGCCCUCUCGGUAAUGCACAUCACAUAAGCCUUGCAAGCAUUAAAACUAAUGAGUUAGUUGUGAGAUGAUAUAUUACGAAACGAGUAAAGAGACUUGCCGGUAACGAGAUUGAACUAGGUAUUGAGAUACCGACGAUCGAAUCUCGGGCAAGUAACAUACCGAUGACAAAGGGAACAACGUAUGUUGUUAUGCGGUCUGACCGAUAAAGAUCUUCGUAGAAUAUGUAGGAGCCAAUAUGAGCAUCCAGGUUCCGCUAUUGGUUAUUGACCACAGACGUGUCUCGGUCAUGUCUACAUUGUUCUCGAACCCGUAGGGUCCGCACGCUUAAGGUUUCGAUGACAGUUAUAUUAUGAGUUUAUGCAUUUUGAUGUACCAAAGUUUGUUAGGACUCCCGGAUGUGAUCACGGACAUGACGAGGAGUCUCGAAAUGGUCGAGACAUAAAGAUUGAUAUAUUGGAAGCCUAUAUUUGGAUAUCGGAAGUGUUCCGGGUGAAAUCGGGAUUUUACCGGAGUACCGGGAGGUUACGGAACCCCCCGGGAGGUAUAUGGGCCUUAGUGGGCUUUAGUGGAAGAGAGGAGAGAUGGCCAGGGCUGGGCCGCGCGCCCCUCCCCCCCUUCCUUCUCUCUCUCCUCUUUCCCUCCUUCCCGAAUCCUAUUCCAACUAGGAAAGGGGGGGAAUCCUACUCCCGGUGGGAGUAGGACUCCUCCUGGCGCGCCCUCCUCCUGACCGGCCGCACCUCCCCCUUGUUCCUUUAUAUACGGAGGUAGGGGGCACCCCUAGAGACAUAAGUUGAUCCACGUGAUCGUUUUCUUAGCCGUGUGCGGUGCCCCUUCCACCAUAAUCCUCGAUAAUAUUGUAGCGGUGCUUAGGCGAAGCCCUGCGACGAUAGAACAUCAAGAUCGUCACCACGCCGUCAUGCUGACGAAACUCUUCCCCGACGCUUUGCUGGAUUUGAGUCCGGGGAUCGUCAUCGAGCUGAACGUGUGCUAAAACUCGGAGGUGCCGUAGUUUCGGUGUUUGAUCGGUCGGGCUGUGAAGACGUACGACUACAUCAACCGUGUUGUGCUAACGCUUCCGCUGUCAGUCUACAAGGGUACGUAGAUCACACUCUCCCCUUGUUGCUAUACAUCACCAUGAUCUUGCGUGUGCGUAGGAAUUUUUUUGAAAUUACUACGUUCCCCAAUAGGUUGUACAUCCAUACAAACACGGGCCAUGUGCUAUGGUUGUGUUCUGGUUUCCAAACGGAUUCAUGCCAUCGGUACUCGCACCAAGCACGAUGUUCCUUGGAUCUUCUGCAACAAAUCCAUAUACGGUGUUCAAUGUUCUCCACUGGCUACCAUCUACGAGAUGUCUCAGCUUUGGAUCAUCUCCAUCGUCGGGCUUCUUCCUCUCUGCGUGCCAGUGCAUGAGCUUUGCUUCCUUAGGAUCUACGAAAUACCGCUACAGACGGGGAGUGAUCGGAAAGUACCAUACAACUUUUUGAGGAGCUUUCUUUCCUGCCUUCUUGUAUCGAGAAGCAUUGCACACUAGGCAGCUGGUUUUUUCCGCGUGCUCCCCCCGAUAAAUGAUGCAAUUGUUGAUGCAUGUGUGGUACCUAAUGUGCGGUAAAUCAAAAGGGCAAACGAUUUUCUUGGCCUCCUCGACACUAGUAGGACAUAGGUUCCCCGCGGGAAGAACUUUAUUAUGUAGAUACUUCAAAUGCUCAUCGAGGCUUUUAUCUGUCCAUUUGUUUUUGGCCUUCGUCUUUAGAAGUUAGAGCGUGAAACUCAAUCGAGUCACCUCGGGAUCGCAACCGUCAUACAAUGGAGUCUUCGAGUCUACUUCAAGUUGCGCCAGCUUGACCUCCUCUCUAGAAGCAGAUCUCUCGCUAGUUGUACUCUUGCGAAGGAGGUCUCAAACAUGAGGGGCCUACACGACUGGACCUAGUAGCGUCGAAGACUGCGGCGUGACCACCGCCUCUUCUCCGCCAUGUCCGGACUCUUCUUCGCUGUGUCUAGAAUCUUCUUGGCCGCCGUCAUUUCCGGACUCUUCCCCGCCGCCAUGUCUGACGCCAUCAUCUUCAUGUCGAUCGGUCAUCUCUUCAUCUAGCCCCGCCGCCAUGUCGUUAUUCCCUGCCAUGUGGACGUCCUCAUCAUCAUCAUCUUCUUCACUUAUCCACCGAGUAUAGCCAUCCAUGAAACCAUUCAUCAGUAGGUGCGCCUUCAAAGUGACAUGAUCAAAAGGGUCCAAAAGGACUCCUUCUUUGCAUCUUGCACACGGACAUCUAAUCCUAGUCUGAUUAUUUGCAUACAUGUCCAUCACCGCGGAUUGCAUGUAUCGCUCCAUGUUCCAUCCACUCACUUUCAUGACCGACUGCAUGGUAUAACAAGCAAAAGGGCUAAAAAAUAAAUAAUGCAUGCAUGCUUCAAAAUCAUAUAAGAUUUUGACACAUGACCUUGCCUAAAAAUAGGACAUAUUGAGUUUGCUCGAAAUUCACUGAAACGGAAAUAAAUCGACAUUUCGGCAAAACAUAAGCAACUCAAGGGCAUGUAACUCGCACAAAUCUCUCCGUAUAUCCCAAACACACAUAUUCUCAUUCACACACAUAUUCCCAUUCUUGCAAUGAACAACUUUUUACUCACCUAUAUAUCUCCCGAGAGAGACCGAUUGUAACGCCCUGAGACCGACGUUCUAGAAGACUUCCAGCUAUUCCGAGUUUCGUCGUGUGAUUUGUUUUAUUUGUUGCAUUCAUCCUUGCAUCAUGUGCAUUGCAUCAUGUCAUCAUGCCAUCAUAUCAUUAAUUUUUAAAACCUCAACUAAAUAAAUUGUAUGGAUUUUUCGAUCCAUUUAAAUCGAGGGACUCACAUGGUGACUUCUCUUUAUAACAUAUCCUCCAAUAUUAGGGAGCUAUAUUAAAUAUUCCACUAUUUUGGAAUCACUAAAACACACUUACAAAAUAAUUUCGUUCCUUUUCUGCUUCAAGUUUGGUCUCCAACCUUGCCAAUAAUUAUUUCAUCAUUUUCCGGAGCUCCACCAAAAAUCCAAACAUUUUUGGACCUUCCCAAACCUCACUUCCUAUUCAAAUCAUUUGAAUUUAAAUCAAAUGAGUUUGAAUUUAAUCUUUCAAUCAUGGCCUUUCUAUUUUUCUCGGAACAAACUCAUUUUUGCGAGUCCGGAAAAAUUAUCCCCAUGUCCUACUUCUUCCCCUAACCCCUCUUUCUUUUCUUGCCUAUCUAUGUUUUGUUUUUAUUUUCUUUAGAGAGGGAGAAGAGAGCCUUGCAGCCCAGCCGGCCUCUUAGGCCCGGCCAACCUAAGCCGGCCCAAGGCCCAGCCGGUGCCCCUCUAACCCUAGCCGCUGCGCCCGAUCCCCAUCUCUCCCUCUCGUCUCCCUCUCCUCCCUCGCGCCGCCAGGAGCCAUCUCUCCCUCGUUCCCCCGCAUCUCUCGCUCGGUCCCCCUCCUCUCGCCCUCUCCCUCGAGCUCCAACGGGGACCGCGUCGCCAGGCCGCCGCCCGCUCCUCCCUCGACCCCGCCAGAAGCGAGCGCUGCCGAGCAGCUCCUUCGCCUCCGCUUCAUCGCCGUCCUCCAUGGCGUCGCCUCCCCAAGCUCCGCCCCGCCGGAUCCACGUCGUCGCCCCCGUCUCGAGCCCCGCCGACGUCCAGCCUCCUCGACCUCGACCUCGACCUCCUCUGCUUCCCUCGUCCUCGCUCGAUCUCGAGCAGGGGAGCAGGCACGUCAUCGCUCCCUCUGCCAUGGAGCUCGCGUCCCCUCGCGUCGCGCCGCCGGUCUCCUCUUCGAGCACGAGCUCCACCUCCCCUGCUGCACGUCAAGGCCGAUGCCGACCGCAUCGUCCAACGCCAAGUCUCGGCCUCCUCUGCUUUGUGGCGACCACCACCAUGGCCGCGGCUACCAUCAACCAACCGCGCGGCUCGCCUCCUGUCUCGGUCGUGCCAAGUUCCCUGCUCCGCCUCCACACGCCGCCCGCACACGCUACCAACAGCCAGCAGCUCGAGCUGCCUCCAUGCAUCUCCGGUGACCUCCCGAGGCAGGGCCUUGACGAGUCCCUCGAUGCCCUCCAGAUGUGUCAAUGCCUUUGUUUGAACCAUGUACAACUACAUGGUGAUGCGCCAACUACCCCUUCGGAUCGCCCAGUUCAUCUACGAAAACAUGUACCAUCUACCGUCGCCCGAAGACCCGUGUACCACUACCGACGCCGUGUACGACUACUUCCCACGACAACAAUUGAACAACUACUUCCACUACACCCGAAUACCGUGGAUGCGACAAGUUCCUCUCCGGACAUGUACGACUACCGUUGCCAAGAUCGCGAGUACCUCUACCGUCGCCGUGAACAACUACUUCCCUCAACGACUCGAACCGCUCCGAAAACGCACGCUUCGAAGGUAUAACCCUGAGACGCCGUCCGUGGACCGAAUGCAUGUGUUGUAUGAGAUGCACCCUAUGUUUGCACCGUGCCCGUUUGCUUCAUGCACGUUCCUCCUCGUUCGCCAUGCCGAUGAACCGUGGGAACCCGGUAACCGGGAUCACCCCACCAUCUCUAGCAUGUUCCGCACAUCCACACGCCUCCUUUCGCACCGGUAUCUCCAUGAGUUACCGGGACCGGAAUGUUGCCGUGGCACCAUUUUUGUUUCGCCGCCGUGGCACCCUUUUUGUUCCGCCAUGGUGACCAAAUGCUUCAUAACAUGCUCAUGUCAACAUUUUCAUAAAAUUGCAUAAAACUUGUAUAUGUCAUCCGCAUCAUGAUAACAACAUUUAAAAUGUUUAAACUUGUUGUUGCAUUAAUUUGCUAAAUGCAUAUGGGGAUUUACCGGAUUUGUUGUUUUUAUAUCCGGCCCCAUUUAAAUUGUUUAGAUGGUAUAGUUUAUAUUAUGCUUCACCUCUUGCCAUGUUUAACAACAGUUAAUAUUGUUGGGUAGCUUAAACGAGAGAUAACUAAAUAAUUGAUGUGGUGUUUCGUCAACAUGCACCUCGUUGCAUAUUGAGCUCCACUUAACUUGUAGUAUUGUUUGUUGCACUUUGCCAUGCCAUGCCUCAUUAAACCAGACAUGCAUCAUACUUGUUUGUGCAUCAUGACUUGUUUAUGCUUGUGUGUUUACUAUGUUGUUUGUUUCUUUCCGGGUUGCUUCUCACGUUAGCUUCGGUUUCGUUCCGGAGUUGUGAGGAUUCGUUCGUCUACGGCCGUUUGUCUUCUUCUUGGAUUCGUUCUUCUUCCUUGCGGGAUCUCAGGCAAGAUGAUCACACCCUCGAAAUCACCACUAUCUUUGCUAUGCUAGUUUGCUCGCUCUUUUGCUAUGCCAAUGCUACGAUGCCUACCAUUUUCUUGUCAGCCUCCCAAAUUGCCAUGUCAAACCUCUAACCCACCAUGUCCUAGCAAACCGUUGAUUGGCUAUGUUACCGCUUUGCUUAGCCCCUCUUAUAGCAUUGUUAGUUGCAGGUGAAGAUUGAAGUUUGUUCCUUGUUGGAACAUGGAGAUGUUGUUCCUUGUUGGAACAUGUUUACUUGUUGGGAUAUCACAAUAUAUCUUAUUUAAUUAAUGCAUCUAUAUACUUGGUAAAGGGUGGAAGGCUCGGCCUUAUGCCUGGUGUUUUGCUUCACUCUUGCCGCCCUAGUUUCCGUCAUAUCGGUGUUAUGUUCCCGGAUUUUGCGUUCCUUACACGGUUGGGCUAUAAUGGGAACCCCUUGACAGUUCGCCUUAAGUAAAGCUCUUCCAGCAAUGCCCAACAUUGGUUUUACCAUUUGCACUAACAACCUACCACCUUCCCUUGGGUUCUGCAGANNNNNNNNNNNNNNNNNNNNNNNNNNNNNNNNNNNNNNNNNNNNNNNNNNNNNNNNNNNNNNNNNNNNNNNNNNNNNNNNNNNNNNNNNNNNNNNNNNNNNNNNNNNNNNNNNNNNNNNNNNNNNNNNNNNNNNNNNNNNNNNNNNNNNNNNNNNNNNNNNNNNNNNNNNNNNNNNNNNNNNNNNNNNNNNNNNNNNNNNNNNNNNNNNCCCCCCGGGCCAGUGCUCCUCUGAGUGUUGGUCCGAACUAGAGCCCUGUGCAGCGCCCCCUCGGGGAAACUCGAGGUUUGGUUUUAGUUGUACGGAUUGCUCAUCUGAGUGUGCCCUGAGAAAGAGAUAUGUGCAGCUCCUAUCGGGAUUUGUCGGCACAUUCGGGCGGUGUUGCUGGUUUAGUUUUACCCUGUCGAAAUGUCUUGUUGUACCGGGAUACCGAGUCUGAUCGGAACGUCUCGGGUGGAGGUCUAUUCCUUCGUUGACCGUGAGAGCUUGUCAUGGGCUAAGUUGGGACACCCCUGCAGGGUAUUAUAUUUCGAAAGCCGUGCCCACGGUUAUGUGGCAGAUGGGAAUUUGUUAACGUCCGGUUGUAGAAAACCCGAAGUUGACCUUAAUUAAAAUACAUCAACCGCGUGUGUAACCGUGAUGGUCUCUUCUCGGCGGAGUCCGGGAAGUGAACACGGUGUUGGAGUUAUGCUUGACGUAGGUUGCUAUAGGAUCACUUCUUGAUCAUACUUUUAUCGACCGUGCUUUGCCUUCUCUUCUCGCUCUCAUUUGCGUAUGUUAUCCACCAUAUAUGCUAGUCGCUUGCUGCAGCUCCACCUCAUUACUCCAUCCUUCCUAUGAGCUUAAAUAGUCUUGAUCUCGCGGGUGCGAGAUUGCUGAGUCCCCGUGGCUCACAGAUACUUCCAAAACCAGUUUGCAGGUGCCUAUGUUACCGUGCAGAUGACGCAACCAAGCUCAAGGAGGAGCUCGAUGAAGAUCUUGCCCUUUGUGUUGUUUCGUUCUAGUUGAUCAGUAGUGGAGCCCAGUUGGGGUCGAUCGGGGACCUUUGUCGCAUUUGGGGUUCUUCUUUUAUUUUGGUUCCGUAGUCGGACCUUGAUUGUAUCUGGAUGAUGUAAUGCUUUAUUCAUGUAAUUGUGUGAAGUGGCGAUUGUAAGCUAACUAUGUAUCUCUUUCCCUUAUGUAUUACAUGGGUUGUGUGAAGAUUACCUCACUUGCGACAUUGCUUUCAAUGCGGUUAUGCCUCUAAGUCGUGCUUCGACACGUGGGAGAUAUAGCCUCAUCGAGGGCGUUACAAGUUGGUAAUCAGAGCCUUCCCCGACCUUAGGAGCCCCACUGCUUGAUCGUUUUUAGCGGCCGAGUUGUGUCUAGAAAAAUAUUUUGAGUCAUUUAGGAUUAUAUAUAUCGGAGAGUUAGGAAUUCUUUUUACUCCCCAGUCUCUUCAUCGCUCUGGUAAGGCAUCCUGACGUAGAGUUUUGACUCUUCUCUUCUCAAAUUUCACUAAAAAAAAUUUUAGGAUCACGCGGGUAUCUUGGAAUCGUUCCGAUGGUUUUAUGAUGAGAACAUUGUCUUGGUGCCUCCUGUCAGGGGUUUAGUGGAAGUGUCCCGGGGAGUUGAGCUCUGAGGUGUUGUCGUCAUAAUUUUAUCGUUGCAGUUCUGGAAUACCUGAGUUUAGUACGCCGACAUCGAAAAUCUCUUUUAUGCAGUUGUUGGUGAGAUAACCCCGAUAACCCAGUACUGAGGUGAGUACGGGAGUAUUGCCAUGACUUGUAUAACAGAUGCUUUUCGAAGGUUGAGGUAGACGAUUUCCGAAGGUUUCUUGGUUAUGUGUUGAAGGAUGGAUACAGCUGGAUGUAGGAUUUGUUAGUUUUGGGUGAGAUAUUAUGCUUCCCCUGUAUCCCCAACACCCGAUUGCAUAACCUGAAAAUUUCGGGAGUUUCAUAGGUGGGAAUUCAAGUAGCUCUUAGGAUAUCUUUCCAAUAGAUGUAUGAUAUGAAAUUGGGGUUCGACGUCUAGUGGUCCGCCUAUUCACGGUCGAUUUUACAGUGGUCUCGUUGUGUCUUAAAGAGUCCUUGGCUAUGCUGACUCGGGGACGCUUCGUAUGUCAUGUGCACUGCCUUGUACAUGAUGGUGCUGUAUGAUCGAGCCCGUGUAGGCCCCACCACGAAAACUUCGGACGAAAUCUCUAUCAUAUGUUUGUUCCGGCUUAUUCUACAAGCCAGUCCUUUGUUUUUGUUUUGAGUUGUGGUAUUCAAGUUGCUUCGAAGUCAAAUGUUGAAUCCAUACCUUUCCUAAAUGGUGUUCUCAUAUUGCUAUGUGAAUACUAAUCCUUCUUGAUCAUCGAGAUUGUCUUGCCAAUCCUUUUCAACCAGUGUGUCUCUCUUCAAGUGGAUCCGAUCAUUUCAACAUCAGCAAGAUCAAUUAUCACUUCUUCUCAACGGUGUUUGUUUCAUCCGUCUCCAAGUUGCCUUUGUUUUUCCCGCCCUCCCACCCUUUUUCUUCAAGGACUCUUAUAUAUUUCAAUCAAGUAUCCAUUUAUUCAUGUGAAGUCUCUCCAUUCUUUUCCUUCAAUGUUCUUAUCCGGUGAUUCUCAUGAAGUUUCUAACGGAGCUUCAAGUUCGUCAUUCUUCUUUCUUUUCUUCUCCGGUGGAUUCAAGUCAAGAUUUGUCGAUUAUAUCCCCUUUUCUCGUUUCGAAUACCUUCUCUUGACGAUGCUCCUCAUAUUCAUUCACUUCUCGCUAUUUGUUAUUCCGGAGUGCUCAAGAUAUCUCGAAGAUCCGUGUUUCCACUCUGCAUUCGUUCAAGCUCUUUCGAGAUUGGUAUCUCAUUCAAGUCAUUUAAUUCAACCGGUGCAACAUCUCUUUUAAAUCUUUUCAACGGUGUUCUUUUGAGUGGGCCCUAACCCACAGGUCUUUUCCCAGGAUCUUACCUGACUCUUCUAUUUUCCCAGAGCUAUCCUAAAUUCUUCUCCAAGUUUGACGUAAGAAUGAGUUAUCAUUAGUCAAAUGCUUUUCUCCAAGAUCUUUCAAAUUCUUUUCAUAGUUGGCUCAACCUCUUCGCUUUUGAUUCUUCCGGUGUGCCUCAAUAAUUCUUGGUGGUGUUUCUCGUUGUCAUUCUCAUCAUUUGAAGACCGAAGAAGAGUUUCUCUUUAAUCUUGCUCUAUUCUCUUCAAGAUUCAUGGUGCUAGCUUGUUGCCAUCCUCUCAUAAUUGUUUUCGAUUGUGAGAAUCUUUUUCACCCAUCAGGAGAUAUUCAAGAGUCUUCUCAGUUUGUCAUCCGGAGUCCAUCAAUUCAGGUUUAUUCAUUCUCAGCCGUCAGUUAUCAUUCUCCUAUCUUGCCGGUGCAUCUAUCGAAUAUCCUCUAAUCAGUUCUUGAUCUCUUUGUUCUCAUGUAUCUAGUUUGUCUCAAGCACCUUCAUUCAUUUGCUAAUUCUUACCGGUGAUGCACCCCUACUUCGAUCAUUUUCAAUUCUUACGGUGGUUCUUUCAAGAUCUCUCUUCCUUGUUCAUCAUAUCAAUUCAUUUGUUGUUCCAAUCCUACCGGUGGUUCGUUGAAGACCUUCUCAAGUUUACGCUAUAUCUCUUUUAAUCCUUUCUACGAGUAUAAGUAGUAUGCCAAAUCCGUUGAUUGUCGUCAAUUUAAUUGGUGAAGGAUAAGCAUAACAUAAUUCUUAUUCUUGUUCAUCCAAGUGAUUAAUUCUUUAUUCCGGAGGCCCUUAAAAUUCUCGGUUUCAUUUGUUUCAUCUUCUCUUUUUCCCGGAGUUCCAAGCUCUAAUUAUCACGGAGAUCCAUCUAAAUCAUUGCAAGGAUUCACCUUGUGUUUUCAAUUUCUCUUUCUUUUCAUUCCUUUUGUUUACCGGAGUUCUUCAUGGAGGUUCUACAUGACGAUUCAUCAAGGAUUUAAUUCCUUCUCAAAGUUUUCAUCAAGAUUCAUUUCUAGGGAGCUCAAGCUUUCUUCAUAUUGUAAUCCGGAGUGCAAUUUCUUUCUACCAUAUUAUCGGAGGUGGUAUUAUGUCAUUCUUGAUAAUUUGAGUUCAUGUUUUCCAUGAUUCACAUGUUGUUAAGAAUGAGUUAUUUUUAAAUCCAUCAACCUCGUUGUUGGAGUUAUCUUGUGUCAUAUUUCACCUAAAAGCCUUCCAUUGGGAAUGUUGCUAUUUGUGGUGCUUGCCAAUGAUCCAAGUUAUCUCUUUAUCAUCUUGGUGGAAGAAGUUUUCAUCUCUUCGUCGAUCUAAAGCUAGCAAUCAUUUCCGUUAGUGGCCGGUUGUCACCUCAUAAUUUUGAGAUGUUUUCCAUAAGCCCACUACAAGCUUAUUCAUUUCGUUGUUGGGUUUUUCCCAACAACCCCGUUGUAACCUUCUUGGAAGAGUGCUUUCCAAGCUCAAUUGCGGCAGAAGUUGCCAUUUCCCCCUCCAUUCUGUUAUUCCAAUGACCUAUCUUCUAUUCUUUCUUCCGGAGGCAUUGUGACGUUGCUCUUUUCACUCACCAUCUCGAUUCGUGAGGAUCGUGUUCUUUUCUUGCUUAUCCAUUUAACCGGAGUGUCGUGUUUUCAUUCGAGUUCUCUAAUCUUAUCAAGUUUUCCCUCCUUCCUCAACUGGAGAGCUGUCUGAAAUCCUUCUUACCCAUUGUGCCAUUCUUUCAAUAGUUCCGGAGGCAGUGUGUUGUUGAUUUCAUCAAGUAACAUCCCAUCUUCUCAAGUUCAUGUUCUAUUCCUUCCAUGUUCAACCGGAGUACUGCCCGAAUUCUUCCCCUCUCAUCUUGUUUUAACCGGAGUGGUUUCGAAUUCUAUCUUGUCCAUUAAACUCUUGAUUCAUGUCUUUGCAACCUUCAAGUUCUCGUAAUGUUCCUUGUUCCUUUUUUUUCUAACGGAUUGUUUGCAAUCUCGUUCUUCUCAGUUGUGCUCUUUCUUUUAAAUUGCUCAACCUCUCAAGGUUCUUUGGUUUCACUCAUUGGUCGAAGAAGCAACUUAGUUUUACCUCUUCUCUUCCUCUUCCAUUUCUCUCCGUUGCCAUCCUAGAUCUCGGGACGAGAUCCUCUUGUAGUGGUGGAGUGUUGUAACGCCCCGAGACCGACGCUCCAGAAGACUUCCAGCUAUUCCGAGUUUCGUCGUGUGAUUUGUUUUAUUUGUUGCAUUCAUCCUUGCAUCAUGUGCAUUGCAUCAUGUCAUCAUGCCAUCAUAUCAUUAAUUUUUAAAACCUCAACUAAAUAAAUUGUAUGGAUUUUUCGAUCCAUUUAAAUCGAGGGACUCACAUGGUGACUUCUCUUUAUAACAUAUCCUCCAAUAUUAGGGAGCUAUAUUAAAUAUUCCACUAUUUUGGAAUCACUAAAACACACUUACAAAAUAAUUUCGUUCCUUUUCUGCUUCAAGUUUGGUCUCCAACCUUGCCAAUAAUUAUUUCAUCAUUUUCCGGAGCUCCACCAAAAAUCCAAACAUUUUUGGACCUUCCCAAACCUCACUUCCUAUUCAAAUCAUUUGAAUUUAAAUCAAAUGAGUUUGAAUUUAAUCUUUCAAUCAUGGCCUUUCUAUUUUUCUCGGAACAAACUCAUUUUUGCGAGUCCGGAAAAAUUAUCCCCAUGUCCUACUUCUUCCCCUAACCCCUCUUUCUUUUCUUUCCUAUCUCUGUUUUGUUUUUAUUUUCUUUAGAGAGGGAGAAGAGAGCCUUGCAGCCCAGCCGGCCUCUUAGGCCCGGCCAACCUAAGCCGGCCGAAGGCCCAGCCGGUGCCCCUCUAACCCUAGCCGCAGCACCCGAUCCCCAUCUCUCCCUCUCGUCUCCCUCUCCUCCCUCGCGCCGCCAGGAGCCAUCUCUCCCUCGUUCCCCCGCAUCUCUCGCUCGAUCCCCCUCCUCUCGCCCUCUCCCUCGAGCUCCAACGGGGACCGCGUCGCCAGGCUGCCGCCCGCUCCUCCCUCGACCCCGCCAGAAGCGAGCGCUGCCGAGCAGCUCCUUCACCUCCGCUUCAUCGCCGUCCUCCAUGGCGUCGCCUCCCCAAGCUCCGCCCCGCCGGAUCCACGUCGUCGCCCCCAUCUCGAGCCCCGCCGACGUCCAGCCUCCUCGACCUCGACCUCGACCUCCUCUGCUUCCCUCGUCCUCGCUCGAUCUCGAGCAGGGGAGCAGGCACGUCAUCGCUCCCUCUGCCAUGGAGGUCGCGUCCCCUCGCAUCGCGCCGCCGGUCUCCUCUUCGAGCACGAGCUCCACCUCCCCUACUGCACGUCAAGGCCGAUGCCGACCGCAUCGUCCAACGCCAAGUCCCGGCCUCCUCUGCUUUGUGGCGACCACCACCAUGGCCGCGGCUACCAUCAACCAACCGCGCGGCUCGCCUCCUGUCUCGGUCGUGCCAAGUUCCCUGCUCCGCCUCCACACGCCGCCCGCACACGCUACCAACAGCCAGCAGCUCGAGCUGCCUCCAUGCAUCUCCGGUGACCUCCCGAGGCAGGGCCUUGACGAGUCCCUCGAUGCCCUCCAGAUGUGUCAAUGCCUUUGUUUGAACCAUGUACAACUACACGGUGAUGCGCCAAGUACCCCUUCGGAUCGCCAAGUUCAUCUACGAAAACAUGUACCAUCUACCGUCGCCCGAAGACCCGUGUACCACUACCGACGCCGUGUACGACUACUUCCCACGACAACAAUUGAACAACUACUUCCACUACGCCCGAAUACCGUGGAUGCGACAAGUUCCUCUCCGGACAUGUACGACUAUCGUUGCGAAGAUCGCGAGUACCUCUACCGUCGCCGUGAACAACUACUUCCCUCAACGACUCGAACCGCUCCGAAAACGCACGCUUCGAAGGUAUAACCCCGAGACGCCGUCCGUGGACCGAAUGCAUGUGUUGUAUGAGAUGCACCCUAUGUUUGCACCGUGCCCGUUUGCUUCAUGCACGUUCCUCCUUGUUCGCCAUGCCGAUGAACCGUGGGAACCCGGUAACCGGGAUCACCCCACCAUCUCUAGCAUGUUCCGCACAUCCGCACGCCUCCUUUCGCACCGGUAUCUCCAUGAGUUACCGGGACCGGAAUGUUGCCGUGGCACCAUUUUUGUUUCGCCACCGUGGCACCCUUUUUGUUCCGCCAUGGUGACCAAAUGCUUCAUAACAUGCUCAUGUCAACAUUUUCAUAAAAUUGCAUAAAACUUGUAUAUGUCAUCCGCAUCAUGAUAACAACAUUUAAAAUGUUUAAACUUGUUGUUGCAUUAAUUUGCUAAAUGCAUAUGGGGAUUUACCGGAUUUGUUGUUUUUAUAUCCGGCCCCAUUUAAAUUGUUUAGAUGGUAUAGUUUAUAUUAUGCUUCACCUCUUGCCAUGUUUAACAACAGUUAAUAUUGUUGGGUAGCUUAAACGAGAGAUAACUAAAUAAUUGAUGUGGUGUUUCGUCAACAUGCACCUCGUUGCAUAUUGAGCUCCACUUAACUUGUAGUAUUGUUUGUUGCACUUUGCCAUGCCAUGCCUCAUUAAACCGGACAUGCAUCAUACUUGUUUGUGCAUCAUGACUUGUUUAUGCUUGUGUGUUUACUAUGUUGUUUGUUUCUUUCCGGGUUGCUUCUCACGUUAGCUUCGGUUUCGUUCCGGAGUUGUGAGGAUUCGUUCGUCUACGGCCGUUUGUCUUCUUCUUGGAUUCGUUCUUCUUCCUUGCGGGAUCUCAGGCAAGAUGAUCAUACCCUCGAAAUCACCACUAUCUUUGAUAUGCUAGUUUGCUCGCUCUUUUGCUAUGCCAAUGCUACGAUGCCUACCAUUUGCUUGUCAGCCUCCCAAAUUGCCAUGUCAAACCUCUAACCCACCAUGUCCUAGCAAACCGUUGAUUGGCUAUGUUACCGCUUUGCUUAGCCCCUCUUAUAGCGUUGUUAGUUGCAGGUGAAGAUUGAAGUUUGUUCCUUAUUGGAACAUGGAGAUGUUGUUCCUUGUUGGAACAUGUUUACUUGUUGGGAUAUCACAAUAUAUCUUAUUUAAUUAAUGCAUCUAUAUACUUGGUAAAGGGUGGAAGGCUCGGCCUUAUGCCUGGUGUUUUGCUCCACUCUUGCCGCCCUAGUUUCCGUCAUAUCGGUGUUAUGUUCCCGGAUUUUGCGUUCCUUACACGGUUGGGCUAUAAUGGGAACCCCUUGACAGUUCGCCUUAAGUAAAGCUCUUCCAGCAAUGCCCAACAUUGGUUUUACCAUUUGCACUAACAACCUACCACCUUCCCUUGGGUUCUGUAGACUCAAGGNNNNNNNNNNNNNNNNNNNNNNNNNNNNNNNNNNNNNNNNNNNNNNNNNNNNNNNNNNNNNNNNNNNNNNNNNNNNNNNNNNNNNNNNNNNNNNNNNNNNNNNNNNNNNNNNNNNNNNNNNNNNNNNNNNNNNNNNNNNNNNNNCCCCCCGGGCCAGUGCUCCUCUGAGUGUUGGUCCGAACUAGAGCCCUGUGCAGCGCCCCCUCGGGGAAACUCGAGGUUUGGUUUUAGUUGUACGGAUUGCUCAUCUGAGUGUGCCCUGAGAAAGAGAUAUGUGCAGCUCCUAUCGGGAUUUGUCGGCACAUUCGGGCGGUGUUGCUGGUUUAGUUUUACCCUGUCGAAAUGUCUUGUUGUACCGGGAUACCGAGUCUGAUCGGAACGUCUCGGGUGGAGGUCUAUUCCUUCGUUGACCGUGAGAGCUUGUCAUGGGCUAAGUUGGGACACCCCUGCAGGGUAUUAUAUUUCGAAAGCCGUGCCCGCGGUUAUGUGGCAGAUGGGAAUUUGUUAACGUCCGGUUGUAGAAAACCCGAAGUUGACCUUAAUUAAAAUACAUCAACCGCGUGUGUAACCGUGAUGGUCUCUUCUCGGCGGAGUCCGGGAAGUGAACACGGUGUUGGAGUUAUGCUUGACGUAGGUUGCUAUAGGAUCACUUCUUGAUCAUACUUUUAUCGACCGUGCUUUGCCUUCUCUUCUCGCUCUCAUUUGCGUAUGUUAUCCACCAUAUAUGCUAGUCGCUUGCUGCAGCUCCACCUCAUUACUCCAUCCUUCCUAUGAGCUUAAAUAGUCUUGAUCUCGCGGGUGCGAGAUUGCUGAGUCCCCGUGGCUCACAGAUACUUCCAAAACCAGUUUGCAGGUGCCUAUGUUACCGUGCAGAUGACGCAACCAAGCUCAAGGAGGAGCUCGAUGAAGAUCUUGUCCUUUGUGUUGUUUCGUUCUAGUUGAUCAGUAGUGGAGCCCAGUUGGGGUCGAUCGGGGACCUUUGUCGCAUUUGGGGUUCUUCUUUUAUUUUGGUUCCGUAGUCGGACCUUGAUUGUAUCUGGAUGAUGUAAUGCUUUAUUCAUGUAAUUGUGUGAAGUGGCGAUUGUAAGCCAACUAUGUAUCUCUUUCCCUUAUGUAUUACAUGGGUUGUGUGAAGAUUACCUCACUUGCGACAUUGCUUUCAAUGCGGUUAUGCCUCUAAGUCGUGCUUCGACACGUGGGAGAUAUAGCCGCAUCGAGGGCGUUACACCGAUCGAGAGAGCACGUGGUUAAUUAGAUGACGAGAGAGACCGAUCGAAGAGCAUGGUGGAUGGCUAAAAUAGCUAGCUAGAUCUAGUUGUUGGGGAGGAGAGGUGAAUCUAGCUAGCCAACUAAUGGAGGGGGAGUUAUGGUGGAGGGGGCAUUAAUGGGGAGAGAAGAGAGGUAGGACAAAGAGAGAGAUGUGAGAGAGGCCAUUUAUGGAGGAGAGUUAUGGUGGAGGGGGACAUUAAUGAGGAGAGAAGAGAGGUAGGAGGAAGAGAGAAAAAGAGCAACAAUGGUGGAGAGUGGAGAGGGGAAGGGAGGGGGAGAGAGGGCAAAGUGGGGGAGAGGAGGGGGUGAAAAGGUGGCACCAGCCGCAACUAGCAGUAGCGCUGCUUAGCAAAAUGCGAUGUUGCUACGGUACUUAGUAGUAGCGCUUUCCAGGAAAAGCGCUACUACUAAGUGGGGCCCAUUAGCAGUAGCGGCGCAGCAAAAUAACGCGCUACUACGAAACUGUUAGUAAUAGCGUUGGAUUAUGUACAACGCUACAACUCCGGCUACCGUCGAUGGUCUCGUCUGGUCCCACAUAGUAGUAGCAUGUUUUUGUUUUCCAGCGCUACUACUAUAGAGUUACUAGUAGCGUUUGCCAGCCAGGAAAAGCGCUACUGCUAACUAGCAGUAGCAGUUACUAUUUUACAGCGCUACUACUAAGCUAUUGUGUAUAAGCAUUUCGGUAGUAGUGUGCGAUGUCACGGGCUUCAUCCAGUGCAUCCAAGUCGUCCUGAUGCUCUAGCUCGGCAUCUGAUGCUCUAGCUCGGCAUCAUACUCCAUGUAGCGAGAUUCGCAAGAAGAAUCAUAAUCGACGUUGCUGGGGAGGAUGCUUCAGCUCCAUAUCCAUGAAAAAAGGAGUGUAGCCGAUAGAUAGGUUAGCCGUAGUUCUCAGACUCCAUAUGCGCAGAUAGUUUUUUUGCCUAUAUUCACUCACGUGACACAGUUGAGCCACAAAUGCAAAUAACUCAAAAACGAUGCAGAUCAUACUGAAAGUGCGAGCAAUGGUAAGAGCAUCUACAACUGGGCUCCUUCAACGCCGCCCCUUCGAUCGUGGACGCCUACGUCAAGGAAAACUAAUGCCGCUCUCGUGACCGCAAGGGGCAAGGGCCCGACAUGGAAUUUUUAAGCCUGACGCCCCUCCAUUUGUUUCUAGUAUCUAUCUAGUUUAAUUAUCUAGUGUUCGGUGAUGAAUUUCUUUUGGUUCGGUUGUACAUGUCCGGUGAUGAACUUUUGUUGCUAUGUCCGCGAAUUUUAUCGAUGUUUGCUUCUUUUUAUGGCUGCUAUGUUGAUAAUCUAUGUAAUUUAUCACGCUUUGCAUGGAUUUGGAGGGGGGGGGAGUAUGAUGAGGAUGGUUGCAGACACUAAAAUAUGAGGGGUGACUGGGAUUGUCCACGCACGCAUAGGGGGUCAAAUUUGUGAAGUCCGGAUGUAGAUGCUUUAAGCCAAUCGGUCAAAGUGCAACUUCCACUGUUUCGUCUAGUCAUUUUUUUUAAAGCAACUUUCACUUCUGUUAUACUUGUCUAAAAUUCGGAUAUCAAUCUAGGAUAAUUUUUUUUUAAAGAUGCACUUAGAAUUAAGAAAACAUCAAACUGAGCGCAUGAGCUUGCUGCGUUGUCGAAAGCAAAAAAAAAAUUGCUGAAACAGAAGAACAAAAGGCUACGAUACCAUUUACGGAGCCCAGCCUAGCGUGCUCACCGUCCGGCGGCCGGCACGGCCCAAGCAAUCACCACUCACUCAGACCCAGGGAGUCGGCACUGGGGUACUAGUCAGCCGUCCGUCGCUUCCAAAUCUCGCCAAUCCUCCCACCACCCCGUGUCGAGCCUGUCCUCUUCUCCACUUCUCUCCCCAUCCAUCCACCACCCCCACCCCCACCCAGCGGCGCAGCCCAACUCCUCCCCACCCCAACCCAAAGCCGCCCCACCAAAACGCGCACACGCGACACACCAGCAGUACCGCCCAUCCACUCCGCCCCCGCCCGCAGUCUCCCCACCUGGUCAAACCACCCCCCACCACCACCACGGCCUCCACCACCAAUCCGCCAUGCCGCCCUCGCUCCGCCUCCUCCUGCUGCUAGCCCUGGCCCUAGCCCUCACCCUCCCGCCCGCCGCGCCGCAGCCGCCGCCGGGGUCGGCGGCGGAGCCGCAGGAGGACGACGCGCGGUGCCUCAAGGGCGUCAAGGCCGACCUCAGGGACCCCGAGGGCCGCCUCUCCUCCUGGACCACCAACACCUCCGCGGGCGCCGUCUGCGACUUCUCCGGCAUCUCCUGCUGGAACCCGCAGGAGUCGCGCAUCCUCGCCGUCUCCCUCUCCGGCUUCGGCCUCCAGGGCAAAAUCCCCCCCGCGCUCCAGUACUGCCGCUCCGCCAACACGCUCGACCUCUCCUCCAACGCGCUCGAGGGCCAGAUACCCCCCGCGCUCUGCGACUGGAUCCCCUUCGUCGUCAACCUCGACCUCUCCGGCAACCGCCUCACCGGCCCGCUCCCCUCCGAGCUCGCCAACUGCCGCUUCCUCAACUCGCUCAAGCUCAGCGACAACGCCUUCUCCGGCCAGAUCCCCGCCUCCCUCGCGCGCCUCGACCGCCUCAAGGCGCUCGACCUCUCCCGGAACCGCCUCGACGGCCAGAUCCCGUCCCAGCUCGGCUCCGCCUUCUCCAAGGACUCCUUCUCCGGGAACUCGGGCCUGUGCGGCCACCCCGUGUCCUCGCGCUGCGGCGGAGGGCUUGGGGGCACCGGCCUCGGAAUCGUUAUCGCUGCCGGGGUCUUCGGCGCCGCCGCUUCGCUGCUCCUCGCCUUCUUCUUCUGGCGAUGCACCGGGAAGGGCAAGGCUGGCCGCCGCCGCCAGGGCCGCGGAGGAAGCGAGUCGGAGGUUACUGCCGCCGAGGACGGGAGCUGGUGGGCGGAGCGCCUGCGGGCCGCACACAACCGACUGGCGCCGGUGUCCUUGUUCCAGAAACCGAUCGUCAAGGUCAAGCUAGCCGACCUGCUGGCAGCCACACAGGACUUCAGCACAAGCCACAUCGUGGUGGCGGGGAGCUCGCGGGCAGGGACCGCAUACCGGGCCGUGCUGCGCGACGGGUCCGCGCUGACGGUGAAGCGCCUGCACUCAUGCCCUCUCUCAGAAAAGGCGUUCAGGUCGGAGAUGGGGCGGAUUGGGCAGCUGCGGCACCCCAACAUCGUGCCGCUGCUGGGAUUCUGUGUUGUUGAGGAGGAGCGGCUGCUGGUGUACAAGCACAUGGAGAGUGGGGCUCUUUCCAAGGUGAUGAAGGAGCCAGGGGAGACAUUGCUGGACUGGGCGACGCGGCUCAGGAUUGCUGUUGGGGCGGCGCGCGGUCUUGCGUGGCUGCACCAUGGGUUUCAGAUGCCACAGAUUCACCAGAACUUGAGCUCGAGCGCGGUGCUUCUCGACGAGGACUAUGAGGCUCGGAUCACAGAUGUUGGGCUCACAAGGCUGGUCCGGAUGGCGCCAGGGGAAGGUGGAGAUACAAGCCCCUUCCUCAAUGGUGACUUUGGGGAGUUUGGGUAUGUUGCCCCAGAGUAUGCUAGCAAUCCAGUUGGUACCAUGAAGGGCGAUACAUAUGCGUUUGGGGUCGUACUACUGGAGCUCGUGAGCGGGCAGGAGGCCGCCUCUGUGUCAAGUGAUGUGGGUGAAGGAUUCAAGGGGACAUUGGUGGAUUGGGUAUAUCAGCUCAAGAGCUCUGGACGAAUCGCCGAUGCUGUGGAUAAGUCAUUGAAGGGCUCUGAUGCAGAGAUCAGCGAGUUCUUGAAGGUGGCUUUUCAGUGUAUUGUGGCUCGGCCAAAGGAGAGGAUCUCAAUGUACAGGGUUUACCACUCUCUGAAGAGCAUUGGAACGGGCCGUGAUGUCUCGGAGCAGUUUGAUGAAUUUCCGCUGGCCUAUAACAAGGACGACUCGGACACCUGAUGGCGGCGACGCCUCGGAUUGUGAACCGCUUGGUCAGGCUUAAUAUGCUACUACUUGCGUAGCCCUGGCAGUUGAAUUGAUCGAGGGCAUGCCGAGACAUCCAUGGCGAAACAAUUAUUACUGCCGGAUAAUCAGUUCGAUCAUGGCACCGUAUCAUGGUGAGAUAAUCAUGUAAGCUGUAAGAUUAGUCUGCAUUGUCUCUUUAAGUUAUUGCUAGUGCUUGUAGUAUCUCUGUGGAACUGUAAUUCUUGUUGUGUCUAAAUUCUGAUAUCACCUUCUUGGAACAAGUGGCCUGCUCUCCAGUCCCCUAUACAAAUGAGACUGGCAUUCAAAAAAUUGAUCCUUUAUCAAUUUAUCUUAAUUUUACAGGAAUAUUUAACUUUGUUUGCAUGGCCGUUCUGUAGCACCCUGUUAUCUCCUACUCAUAGAUGGUCAUUAUGUAGCAUGCUAAUCCCAUUUACUCCCUCCGAUCCAUAAUAAGUGUCGCGGUUUUGUGAAUUUGCUCGAUGAUGUACCCUAUCUCAUUUGUCUCUCAUUUUGGUCAUCUGUCUCUUAUUUUGGAUCGGAGGGAGUACCAUUUUCUCUGUUGUGAAUUUGCUGGAUGAUAUGAUAUCCCCUAUCUCAUUCUCAUAUAUUUCAUGUGCUCUGCGUUGUUGGCAAUACUCCAAUUUGGGUGCUAAUAAAAUCCUUCAACAUACAUUUCCAAGCUAUGUGUCUUUGUCCUAUACCUUUCAAACCUUGGACCAUUUACCAGCCUCUGUUCUGUAUUCCGAAGACCGAUUUUGAAGCAUUGUAAUGUGCGAAAGACAUCGUCAACCUGACUUUUAAAUUUUAUUAGCUUUCCAUUUCCCCCUAAACCCGCGUUAUCUCCGUUCUUAUCUGGCUGGCCCUCCUGCUAUAUUGUAUGCUAUGUUUGAUUUGAAAGUCAGCUCUUUGUGAUUGAUAACAAUAAUCAGUUGUUCCACCGCACAUGCCCAGUCUGCAUGCAUAAUUGUCACCAUCGCGGGCUCUCACGAUCAGAUCAGAGUCCUAAAUUUGACCUUUCCUGGCGAUAGCGAGCGUUACCCGGCCGGUCUCUUGACUAGCAGAAGAGCACGUACUUCAAUGCUUGGAUUGGACGGCUGAAAACUUUGAAACUGAGAAAACGAGCUGUGGUGGGACGGACGGCGUGGCGGCAUUUCAGCCAUUUAUUUUACUCCCCUUGAGAAUCGCUGUGGGAAGGUGGGGAUGCACAGAGCAGAGCGGAGCAGACAGAUGUACCAUGGCGGCCCUGUUUGAAUCCUGUGCUUGGCUGUCGCCUGCAGUUAUUGUACUAUUAUUGUACUGUAUGCACGUACAAGUCUGCCCAGAUUUGCAUGUUGCGCAUAGAAAAGACAAAAUACGCGGCUAGACUAACCUAACCCCUCUGCCCAAAGCUUGUCGCGGGAAUUGGACUAGUGUAUGUGUAAAGAUGUAUUUUGCCUGUGUCUCGGCUAGCUUUUUGCUGCUUGUUAGUGAGUUGCCACCUCAUCUUUAUUCCUCCGGCAAAUCCGGCCUGAUCAUCCUCAGCCACUGAACCGAGUUCUACUCCUCUCUAAAGUCUGAGCUCACCUGCAAAAAAAGAAAGUCUGAGCUGAACACCAAGCACAGCUGCGAGUUAUCUGCUCGUAACUUGUAGUUGUGCUAUUGAUUCAGUAGUGUGACCUGGAAGGCUGGAGGUGGUCGGCAGCUGGCAUCCGCGGAUCGGUCGCAAUGAUGGCGUGCCUUGUCUGUCUGUAGGAUACACCGGCGCUGGGCCUGCCCCUACACACGAUCGGUGGUAGGGGGAGGGGGGCCUGCACGAUUCAUGAACAGAAGGGUAGCGAAGAACGAUGGUCUGAUCGAACGCUGUGUUUGACCGGCUCCUUAAUAUGUCGCCAUGAAUGCUGGAACGCCAUGGCUGGACGAAGGAGCCGUGCCGUGCAGAAUUUCGUGUACGGAUACGUUGCAAGUUACGCAAUGCUACCAACAGAACCGCAUGAGAGCUCUGUUAUCGCAUACGACACGAACUGUCCGCGGAUGCUUAGCAGUUUUUCCUUUUUGACACGAUUAUAAUUUACUCCCUCCCUCCCUUGUAAUAUGGAGCACAUACGGACUGAAAUGAGUGAACAAGCACACUGGCGGUCUAUAUACAUUCGAUAACUUCAUGCUAAAUCAGCGACAGUUAAUAUGAGGGGGUAGAAGAACAUCUUACAAUAACAGCGAACACAGGGAGGGAGUAGAAAACAAAAGAGGGAAUGGGAAUGAAACAGGCAGGCCCGGAGGGCGGCUGGCGCUGCGCCCUGCUCGACGCAAAUCCACUGGAUGAAGAUCACGGUACUGAUUAAACCUGUCCCUCCGAUCGCAGCCCGCAGGCAGGACAGCAGGGGACCUGGAUGUGACGUGCGAGAUAUUCUUUCGCCAAGUGACGCUUUGCUAAUUGGGAGGAAGAUGGAGUGCGGAUUCAGACACGAGCGCUGGGAUCUGAGGCGAGGAGCACAUCGGCCAUGUAUGUCCCCGUCGUUGACUGACUUGCGGUUUUCUUGGUAGUAAGACUAGUUUUUUUUCCCUAGGACUAGGAUGAUUAUUUUUCUUGGCAGCUAAACUGCGAACAAGUCUCCGUACAAAGGAGCGGAGGAUCCUGCCAGCCACUUCUCUGCCGUGCAGUUCCCGCAACUGUAGAAACGUCAAAAUCUGAAGCAAAAGACACGGGACGUCUUUUUACUAUGCUGGUAUACAUCAAAAUCGACGGCCACGCCAAGGUUCCAAACGAUAGACUUUUAACCCCAGAAAAACAAAGCUUCCAGCUUCUCGGCUUAUGCAGAGGAAAAGCUAGCCCAGAUCUCUGCAGAAAAGACAUACUCGCAACAAAUUCGCUCGAGGUUGGCCACUUUGCUGCCAGUCUUAACCGAUACCACUCAAUACAGUCAAGUUAUUUCUAGAGUCCCAGAAAGGCAUACUCAUUCCAUCUGGUCAAAAUACCGGGGCGCACAAGUAACUGAAUUUCACAACAGAAAGGCACGGAACACCACACAUCUACAGAGAAACCUAUUUUUCUAGCUAACACAACACACUACACUCAUGUCAAAUUGCCAGCAAGUAUACAGACAAAGGGGCACCGAGCCACUUCAGCGAGCACCUUGGUUCCUCCACACACACACAGCAAUGCUUCUUUCUAGUACUGGGAGGGUUUGGCGACCAAGGAACCAUUUUAAUUCCCAGACCAACCUCAAGCCUUGAUAUGGUGGUGAGGAUCACAUGACGUAGCGGUAGGUCACGUAUUCUCCGGCGACUUCGCUCUGCCGGGUGAUCUUCACCACCUGCCCACGCUUCAUGCCGUAGUAUCUUGCUACCGGAUCCGUGAGCUGAAUCCU